CUGGGUUUUGGCAGCUUCGUCAAAUUAAGCUAAAGUCUCGUCCGCUCAAGGAGCGGAGUUAAAGGAGCCGAGAAAAACCGAAUGCAGCCUUAGGGAUGGCAAAUAUGUUGACACAUGUUAUAAGCUUUUUUUUUUUUUGCGGUGAUGUUAUAACCUUUUUUUAUUAGCAGUUACAAUUUGGUCAAACACGAUUUGUUUUGUUUUGCACAGCUACACUACUCGUUCAAUGGAAGUGGCGGCACGCUCUGCUCGCUCCGAAAGUAGUCGCCAGCGUCCACAGUGUGCUUGAUCUUGGCGAGUCUCCUAAAGUUUUCUGGGCCGAAAUAACUCUCGCCCCACUUCUUGGCACUUUCAUAGCUUGUCACGCCGUCCACCACCUUGUUCGUGCCCAUGUCGAGGUCCCGGUAGUUCACGUACGCGCCCCUCGGGUUCUUGCUCACGAACGGUGUCAUGAAGUCGUACAGGCUGCCCACCCAUUUCGGCACAACAUCGCCUCCGGCCACUGUGCCGUUCCAGAACUCCACGUACUGGAUGUUGUAGAGCACGCCGCUCCGGUGGGUUGGGCCUCGGCGCUCCAAGCCCCGGCGUCGACCCACGCGGUGGCCUCGUGUGGGUUGACGCGGACGGCGUGGAGCUUGGCGAGGUCGAUCACCUCGAACCCCUCGCUGUUGGCGCUGCCCGACCGGUACGAGAGGCCCUCGCAGUCGUGCCCGCCGCUGCGCACGCGGACGCGAACGCCGUGGCGGCGCCCGCAGCGCACGGCGGCCUGGACAUGCGAUGCGUUGGUUGGAGUCACGAUGCAGAUCGGGGGGCUGGCUGUGGCCGGCGUCACGAACCUGGCGUUCCUGAUGGACGACAACAGGAGCUGCUUGAACGACGGCGAGCUCGGCGUCUGUACGAGCUGGCCGGGGACGUCCUUCGAGAGGCAGCGGAGGAAGUCAUUGCCGCCGGAGGGCGACGCCAGGGAGGGGGCGGGCACGUAGAGGCCCAAGACGCAAAUUGUGAGAACGAGCGAAAUGCUUGCCAUUUACGAUGGAUCUGCCGUUCUUCGCGAUGCUCGUUAUAUAGGCAUGCAUGUGUCGUCCUUAUCUCGGGCCGGUUCAUUACAUGCAUGCAAGUCUCUCCCCCAAUCAAGUAGGAAUUGAUUGUGCCCCAAAGAUAAGACGUCUCCAAUUUAAUUACCUCCUUAACUGGAAAUAAAAGUGAAUUAUUUUUUUAUUGGUCAAAGAUAAAUUUGUUGACAUGGCUCUAUCUUACUCUCUGCUUACAUUAGGAUGUGUUAGGAAGGCUUUUAAUUACUUUAAUUGUCUCUCCAUACACAAUAAAAUAUUUCCAUUUAUGCCAUAUAAAAUCAUACUUUAAAAAACUGAAACAACAAUUAAACCAGUGAUGAGGCUGUUGUUUCAGGCUUUCAUAGGUCGGACCGCCAACUCCUCGAUUCAUGGGCGACAAAAACAAGAAUAUUUAAGCUAUUUUUUCAAUAACUUUUUUUUUCGAGAAAACUUUCAAUCUAUUCAUCUUCUAUCAUGGCAGUACAACGAACACUAGAAAUAAUAAAAAUUACAUCCAGAUCCGUAAACCACCUAGCAACGACUAUAAUCACUGAAGCGAGCCGAAGGCGCGCCACCGUCAUCACCCCUCCCUCGCCGGAGUCGGGCACAACUUGUUGUGGUAGACAGUCGGGAAGUCGUCGUGCUAAGGCCCCGUAGGACCAGCACAGCAGAACAGCAACCGUCGUUGAUGGAGAAUAACGUAGAUCGAAAGGAUCCAACCUGAAGACACACGAACAUAGAAGAACCACAACCAGAUCCGAGCAAAUCCACCGAGGAUAGAUCCGCCGGAGACACACCUCCACACACCCACCAACGAUGCUAGACGCACCACCGGAACGGGGACUAGGCGGGAAGACCUUUAUUCCAUCUUCAGGGAGCCGCCGCCGUCUCGUCUUCCUGAGUAGGACACAAACCCUAACAAAUCUUAAAGGAACGACUAACAAUGGAGCCCUCCCGCCGGCCAUUGCCAGGAUCCACCGCGCCCCCAUGGCCCUAGGGCCACCGGAGACGAGGCGGACCUGCGGCCGAGCCGGCGAGAGGCACGAACUUGACAUCAGAUCAAAUGGAUACACAUACCCCCCACGCACACACACACAAGUGAAUCGUCUCCUGUUCGCAGAUGACUAUCCAAAGCAAAUCAGAAUGCUGGUGAGAUAAUUAAAUAAAAAAUCCAGAAAUACUAAAGGGCCUCGGGACAGCGUGUGAACCUUGGCAAGGGCUGCCCUAAUGAAAAGAGGAUCAUAAUCAAGGGAAUUCUAAAUGUGCCAAACGAGUCCUUACCAGAGAGGUACUUAGGAUUGCCAUCUCACAUGGGGAGGUCAAAGAACGAAUCCUUCAAAUAUAUCAAGGAUGGGCUAUGGGCGAAGGUGAGAGGCUGGAUAGAAAAGUGUAUGACCUCAGCUGGAAGAGAGGUCUUGAUCAAGUCCGUCACUCAAGCUGUCUUCGCAUUCUCUAUGUCUUUGCUUCUUAUUACCGAGAGGUUUGUCUCGACACAUCGACAUGAUGCUAAGGAAAAUUUUCUGGGGAAGUAAAAAUAGUGAAAGAAAGGUUGCAUGGGUCUCUUCGGAUAAAAUGACAAUGCCAAAGUACCAAGGGGGUUUAGGCUUGCGUGAUAUAGAAUUGUUCAACCUGACCAUGCUGGCCAAACAAGCGUACACAGGACCCUGAAUCGCUAAGUGCAAGAAAUAGUGGCGUAGCUAGGGGGUAGCCAGGGUGGUCCAUGGUCCAUCCUGAAAUUUCCCCAUAGCUUAUAUAUAUUGUAGUAAAAAAAUAUUUUCUUAAAAUAAAUAAACUUAUGUAAAUAUUUUUAUUAAUGGACCACCCUGGCGUAUUGGGCUGGCUACGCCACUGCCAAGAAUGCAUGCCAUUUCGAUGGAUCUGCUACUCUUCGUACACAGACACGCUGCUUUGUUCUAUUCUCGUUAUAUACCCAUGUGUGUGUCAUCUUUAUCUUGAAGGGCCAGCUCAUUACAUGCAUGCAAGUCUCUCCCCAAAACAAGUUGGAAUUGAUUGUGCCCCAAAGAUAAGAAUUCCCCAAUUUAGUUACCUCUUAACUGGAAAUAAAAGUGAAUUAUUUAUUUAUUGGUCAAAGAUAAAUAUGUUGACACGGCACUAACUUAGUAGUAGAAUGUGUUAGAAAGAAAGGCUUUUAACGAAUUUAAUAAUCUCUUUGAUACAAGAUAAAAUACUUCCAUUUAUGCCAUAUAAAAUCACAACUGUCAUAAUAACGUUUAAUGUUAACCAACACAAUCAUCAAUGCGACAUGGUAGUUUUUCUGAAACAGCGAACCAAAUCUCUACUCCUAAUGUAUGAGUUGGUGAAUAGUCUCCACGGUUUAUUUUCGCUGGGUUUUUUCGUCUCCCCUCCAACCACACAGCUUCCUUUCGCACGUAGAAAAAAGACCAAAAACUGAGCCCUGUCCCACGAAGGGAAAUCAGAGGAACGAGGCCCCUGAGGGGAAGUCCGUCCCAAGGGUGACGGUUGGGUUAGGUCAGGCGAAGUGAGGGGCGAUCUAGGUUUCUCUCGUGCGCCGCCUAGGUUUUUCCUGUGUCUGAGAUCCACCACCAAUUCUUUGUCUUCCCCAGGCUCUGCUCAUGGGUAGAUCUGUGUUCGCUUCCUCUAUUUCCACUACACCUAAUCCCUAGCUGUGUUUUGGUUCUGCGUCUUUGGGCGGCGGUGAUGGAGAAGGUGGAAGGUCUGCUGCAGAGUUUGAAGUUGUCCGACAAGGAGAAGAAAAGCUUCAAGAUCGGAUGGAAGGGAGCGGGGAAGUUGGGGGUUGUGGAACCGCAGGCUCUAGCGAAGCUUUUGUCGGAGAAACCAGUUUUCAUGGAUGCUAUGGCAGAGACUCUUGGCCGGAUCUGGUGUCCAAUUAAGGGCCUGGAGUGUAAGGAGAUGGGUGACAAUAUGUUCAUGUUUACUUUUGGCCAGGAAUCGGGGAAGAGAAUGGCCCUGGAGGGUGGGCCGUGGGAGUUUGGUAACGAUCUGCUAGUUCUUGAAGAUUUUGAUCCAAAGAAGCGUCUGGAGGACUGCCAAUUUGAUACAAUUCCAGUCUGGGUGAGGAUCUUGCGCCUCCCGCUUGGGAUGAUGAAUAGAGAGGUUGGGGAAGAGUUAGGUUCAGAGAUUGGGGAAGUUGUGGAAGUUGAAGCUCGGGCGGAUGGGCGUGCAGUGGGGAAGUUUUUGCGGGUGAAGGUUAAACUGAAUAUCUUACUGCCUUUGAUGAGGGGGUUCACCUUGGAUGAUGAGGAGGGGGUGGACGGGACUACUACCAGUUCUGGAGAGAUGGGCAUGGUUGAGGUGGGCAAGGAGAGGAAGAUUUGGUGCCCUUUGGAGUAUGAGUAUCUACCGGAUUUUUGCUAUGUAUGUGGUAUAAUUGGUCAUAUUGACAAGGCGUGUUCUAAGAAGCUGAAAAAGGGGGAGAAGCCCCAAUUUGGUUCAUGGCUCAGAGCCUAUAUUCCGAGGCGAUAUGUGGAGGAUAGAGGUAAAUACAUGGGGUCCAGAACUUUUUUUGGUGGCCGUGGUUCAGGUAGCUGGAGGGAGAGUGCUCGCCUUGGCAAAUCAGUCUCUGCUAGUGAUGUACCUUCAUGGAGGAAAGAGAAGGGGGAUAUUGUUGCGGAUAAAGAGAAAGGUCAGUGAGUUGGGGGGAGCCGUGAUGCACAUAAACAGUUGACCUACACGAGGGAUUCAGAGAAGCACAGUGUUAUGGUUGGGAGCUUUGAGAAGAGAGGUGGCCUUUCAGAUCCAGGUGGUGCAGUCAUAAGUAACGAGGCUGUGCACUCCCAGACAAUGCAAGUUGAUAAAAUUAUGAAUGGGUCCGAUGAACUGCAUGAUCGUGGUCAGAAGGAUGGGAAUCGUGGAAGCGGGGUGGGGGAAUGUGCUGCAGUGCCGGCUGCGAGGGGUGUGGCGUGUAUAGGUUCUGAUCCCGAGGCCAUGCUAAGUCCACUCAUGGUCGACGUGAACAGUGCCACUCCGAUGGUUCCAAUUGAUACAGUGGAAGGGCAUCCUGCGGAAAAGGAGUUGAGCAAUGGUACGAGAAUGAGUGGGCGUUACAAGAAAAUCAACCAACGUGAAGAGAAGGGUGGGGAAAAGGGUGUGAUGCCAGGGGUGGGUGAAGGGAAGGGUUGUGUGAGUGGGAGUAAGAGGGGGGCUGAUGUUCUGUCAAUGGAAGAGGGGGGUCUCAAUAAGAAGGCGAAGCUGGACAUGUGUGUUGGGAUGCAGGAGAAGGAGCUAAAAAUUGGUGCGGGGCUGCCGGAGCAGUCCUGCAGACCCCAAUGAAGGUGAUUGCGUGGAACUGCCGGGGAUUGGGGAAUGGGCUGGCAGUUCGUGGUCUUCUGGAGCUCCAGAAGAAGGAGGACCCCGACAUCCUAUUCUUGUCUGAGACUAGGCUCGAUGAGUGGAGCAUGGGUAAAUUUCAUGAUAUGUUAGGGCUUUAUCAUAUGAAGGUGCAGAAUAAUAAAGGCAAGAGUGGAGGUUUAGCUUUGUUUUGGAGGCGUGGAAUAAAUGUGUCUGUUAGAUGGUCUGGACGUAUGCAUAUUGAUGCGAUUGUGGAGGAGAAAGAUGGCUUUAAAUGGCGUUUGACGGGUAUCUACGGUGAAUCUCAUGCGGACAGGAAGGUGGAGACGUGGCGCCUUCUCCGUACUCUUCAUCAUCAGAUUCAGCUCCCUUGGGUAUGCCUGGGCGAUUUUAAUGAGAUUUUGUUUAGUCAUGAGAACAAGGUGGUGUUCCCAGAUCUCAUAGGUGUAUGCAAAAUUUUCGUGAUGCUCUUGAUUAUUGUAAUUUGCAUGACCUUGGUUUUGAGGGUGACGUUUUUACUUGGAGAAAUAAAAAUUAUAGAGUUGAUGGUUAUAUCCAUGAGAGGUUGGACCGUGUGGUGGCUACGCCCGAUUGGUGUACCCGUUUUCUGGCAUAUAAAAUUGUGAAUGGCGAUCCACAAAAGUCUGAUCAUAGUUAUCCUUAUGCGGGAUGGUAAUCCUCGUAUCCAGCGCAUGGGGUCUGGGGAACGGCUGGUUCGUUUUGAAGCAAGAUGGCUCCUGGAGGAAGAUUGUGACAAUAUUGUAAAGGAAGCCUGGGAGGAAGCGAGGGGUACUUGUGUGAGCCCAAAGCUUGCAGCCGUGCUGGGUAAGCUCAAUACUUGGAGCCGUGAAGUUCUGGGCGAUCUCCGGGAGCGUAUAAAGAAGCUCAAAGGAGAGUUGGAAGUGGUCAGGAGGGAGCCAAUCUCGGACUGUCAAGUAAGAAGAGAACAAACCAUCAGUUUUAAACCGGAAAGGUUAGAGGAGCAAGAGGAUUUGGUCUGGAAACAACGGGCCCAUGUGAAUUGGUUGGUGUAUGGGGAUCGGAACACUAAGUACUUCCAAGCCUACGCGUCUGAAAGGAAGAAAAAGAAUAUGAUCCACAAAUUGAAGAGGGAGGAUGGCGUGUAGGUGAUUGGGGAGGAGGGCUUAAAGGACCUUGUAACUAAUUAUUUCUCUUCUCUCUUUUCAUCCGUGGCAGGUGAAGAUUCUAGUGAAAUUCUGAAUCAGAUCACUCCAAAGGUUUCAACAGAAUGAAUGAGUUCCUUACUGCUGAGUUCACGGCGGAUGAGGUAAAAAUUGCUCUUGAUAGCAUGGGGGAUCUCAAGGCGCCUGGUAUGGAUGGAUUACCGGCUGUCUUCUAUAAGCACUAUUGGCAUUUGGUUGGUGAUACCGUGGUACAUGAGGUUUUGCAUGUGUUGCGUGGCGGCAGAAUGCCAGAGGGAUGGAACGACACUCUUGUAGUGCUAAUCCCAAAGGUUCAGAACCCCGAAACUAUGAAGGAUCUACGCCCUAUUAGCCUAUGCAACGUGGUGUAUAAACUCGUGUCCAAGGUAUUGGCAAAUCGGCUCAAGAACAUCUUGGGUGAGGUUAUCUCACCGAACCAAAGUGCCUUUGUACCGGGGAGGAUGAUUCGGAUAAUACUAUUCUUGCCUACGAGAUGACACAUUUUCUAAAGAGGAAGAGAUCCGGCAGCACAAGCUUUGCAGCGCUAAAACUGGAUAUGAGUAAGGCCUAUGAUCGGGUUGAGUGGGUUUUUUGGAGAAGGUUAUGAGGCAGUUGGGUUUUGCAGAUGCAUUUGUGCGGCUGAUUAGUGAGUGCAUAAGGACGGUGAGGUUUCAGUUUAAGGUGAAUGGGUCAUGUACGAGCCAAGUCAUCCCGGGACGUGGUCUGCGUCAAGGGGAUCCGAUUUCACCGUACCUUUUUCUUCUCUGCGCUGAGGGCCUAUCCGCGCUCCUUCACCAUGCCGAGUCUACGGGUCAGAUUAAAGGGAUCCAAAUUGCACCCACAGCUCCUGUGAGUCAUCUUCUGUUUGCGGAUGAUUCGUUACUCCUUAUGGAGGCGACACCCGAGAGCAUUGGCGUUAUUAAUCAGAUUCUGCAUGUCUAUGAGAUGGGUUCCGGUCAGGUGAUAAAUAGGGCAAAAUCUGCAGUUUUGUUCAGUAAGAAUACGCCUAGUGCAAAGAAGCAGCAGCUGCUUGAUCUUCUUGGCCUUGACUUUGAAUGUGUGCAGGGGAAAUAUCUUGGUCUGCCUAGCUAUGUUGGCCGCUCACGUCAAAGGUGCUUUGAGUAUUUAAGGGAAAGAAUCUGGGAAAUUUUAAAGGGGUGGAAGAUCAAACUGUUAUCAAGGCAGCCAAAGAGAUCCUUAUUAAAGCUGUUAUCCAGGCAGUUCCCUCUUAUGCGAUGUCUUGUUUUGAUCUAACGAAGGCACUGUGUGAGAGUAUCAGCAAGAUGGUGUGUCGGUUUUGGUGGGCUAACCAAGAUGAUGAGCAUAAACACCACUGGAUUAGUUGGGAGAGGAUGAUGAUGCCGAAGGAACAAGGAGGUGUUGGCUUUAGGGAUCCACAUGUUUUUAAUAUUGCAAUGCUCUCUAGACAGGUGUGGCGACUGGUUCAGGCUCCAGGCUCCUUGUGUGGCCGAGUGUUACAGGCCAAGUAUUUUCCUGGAGGUAAUGUGUUGGAUGCCACUCGGGCUGGACACGAGCCGAGCCGAGCCGAGUUCAGCCCGAGCCCGGCUUUGGCUCGCCUAAAGCGAGCCGGGCUCGGCUCGGCUCGUUAGUUGAACGAGCCUGUUUCUAGAGGCUCGGCUCGUUUUGCCUCUGGCUCGGUCCAGCCCGAGCAGCUCGAUCAAUAAAGAGAGCUAACUGCAUUCUCGACAGCAACAGUCUAUCAACGACAAAGCAAACUGAAUUUUCGACAACAACAGUCCAUCAAUACAUCCGAGCAACAGAAUUUUGAACAGCAACUACAUUUCAAACCACUCUGUCGUCAACAGCAUAGAUCAACAGAGAGAAAAGGGAAGAGAUUUGGGGAUGGUGGAGGCCUGGAGGUGAAAUCACGGAGCGACGAACGGCGGCAUCCGGUGCAGCGGCGAAAGGGCACGUACCACGUCGGAGUCGACGGCGAGCCAUCCAGCAUCGGGUGCGGCGAGUAGGACGACGUCGAGUGGUGGCACUGGCAGGACAGCGGCGGCGCGGCAAGGCGCAAACCCUAAGCAGCGUCGGGUGCAUUCGUUCGCCAGGGGAGGCACAUAUGAGUCGGGGUGCUCUGUAGUGGGCUUGGGCUGCUCAUGUAGGCUGGCUGCUGUUGCUAGACAAUGGGCUGAAAAUUAUCUAAAGAAACUUAACUGGGCUGCGAAACGAGCCACCGAGCUGGACCGAGCAAAAACCGGCUCGGCUCGGUCGUCGAACGGGCCGAAAUAUGCAGCUCGGCUCGGCCUAUAUUCUUGUCGGGCCGAGCUGAGUCGGGCCGAGCUGGAGCGAGUUUCGGGCCGAGCCGAAAAGCUCGCUCGAGCGCCCAGUCCUAGAUGCCACAUCGCAGCCGGGUAUGAGCUAUGUGUGGCGGAGUAUUCUGCAAGGGGUGGAAGUGGUAAAAGCCGGUAUGAUUUGGCGUGUUGGUUCGGGUAACAACAUUAGAAUAUGGGAGGAUCCCUGGAUCCCAUCUGUUGACACUAGGCGUCCGGGCACACUCCAAGGGAAUCACCUUCUGACCACUGUGAAUGAGCUCAUCGAUCCGGACAGGAAUGAUUGGGAUUCUCAGCUUGUUCAUCAGACCUUUGCUCCAAAUGAUGCAGCUGCAAUCUUGGCUAUCCCAAUCUGUGAGCAUUACGACGACUUUGUGGCGUGGCAUUUUGAUAGCAAAGGUAGGUUCUCAGUCAAGUCGGCAUAUCGGGUGUAUGCGAACAUUCUUACCCGGCAGAAUUACAGGCAGCGGGGAGAGAGCUCGACAAUCCCUUCGGAAGGACAAAAUUUCUGGCAGGAUCUCUGGAAGAUAAAGUGCCCUCCGAGAGUUCAUCAUUUUCUGUGGCCGUUUGCACAUAACAGCCAUCCACUUCUAAGAAAUAUUGAACACAUUGGCGUACAGCUUGACAAUAAGUGUGUAGUCUGCCGUCGACUUCCGGAGGUAAAAAAGCCUGGAGAGUUUGUUCGCUUGAGAAUACUAGACUAAAUCUGCUGGAGUGCGGAACAUCAAGGGAUAUGCUGACGGCUGUGUUUCGGCUACCUGAAGUAGUCAAGUUGCGUACAAUAUGUCUUCUUUGGGCAUGGUGGUCUGAACGUAACAAGGCAAAUCAUAACCAAUCACGUUUAUCAGUAGAAGCUUUUGAAGCAAAGGUUGGGCAUACCAUUACUGAAUGGCGUGAGUUCUUGGGGCAUAAUUGUGGAGAAAAGCCAACGGUGGUUCAGACGUGGUCUAGGCCUCCUGCAGAUUUCAUUAAGCUCAACUUUGAUGCUGCUUUUAAUGCCAACUCAGGGACUGGGGGUUGGGGUGUCAUUGCUAGAGAUGUCGACGGCGAGGUUGUACUGGCUGAUUCAGGGGCUCUGCAUCAUAUGGGUUCUGCACUUCAAGCUGAAGCUCAUGCCCUGUUGAAUGCCAUCCGGCUAGCCGAGCAACUUGGUAUGGGUCGUGCUAUUUUUGAGACCGACUGCUUGGCUUUGAAGCGGGCAAUUGAUACUGAUUCAGCUGAUCGGGGCCCUCUUGGCGUUUUGUUUUGUUUCGGAAGCAAGAUUUCAGCUUAAUGUAGGCUUUAUUGAUCAUAUUAUGUCCUACACCCCCAGGACUUGUAAUUCACCAGCGCAUGUGCUGGCCUCCCUUGGUGCAAAGGGUCCCCCGGAUGGCCAACAAGUUUGGUACUCGGGCAUCCCAGGAGAUGUAUCUCGUGCUGUGUCUGCCGAUUUGGUCGGUCCGCUGUAAUUGGAAUGCCAGGUGUUCCAGCUCAAAAAAGAAAAAAAGAGGAACGAGGCCCCCUGCACUCCUCUCUCUAUCGAUCGAGAUACUCCCGAUCUAUUUCCUAAGGUGUGAACGCCGCUGCAGCAUCCUCCACCGCCGCCAGUUUUUUUCAAUCGAGAGGAGAAAACUUUCUCUUGCCUCUCUCGGGACGCCUCCGCUCUUUCUCUUGCCCGCUAGGGUUUCUCGCCCCAAGGAUUAUCUGGCCGCCGCCGAUUCUCCCUGCCUUCAAUCGAUGCCAUGAUCCGUUAACUAACCUUGUCUGGCCGUGGAUCUAGCGCUGCCGGAGGGGCCGCUGUGUGUCCCAUGCGGGCUCGCCAGCCGCCGCCAGAUCCCCACAUCCCCGAGCUCGAUGUCGUCGCGCACUUCCCUUCAGGUUGACCACGUACAGAGACAAGGUACACUCCCUACUUGUUGCUGAUGUGCCUUACUGUGACGCUGCUGGAUGGUGCUGCUGCACUCGGGUCAUCUCGUCCGGUACCAUGCCUCGUUGCUGAGAGAUGCCUUGAGACGCCCGCCGGCCCGCCGCCAUCGCAUUUCAAGAGACGGGAACGGGAGGAGACAAAGGGGAUUCGAAGGGGGCGCGAGUGCCGACCUUGCUGGUGGGUUGGGUGGCCGAUUGAUGAAGGUUGUCCUUGCUUUCCGUCCUUUCUAAUCGGCAAACGCACUCAGCGUGGAGCGGGGCGUCGGCCUGUGCAGCACAAAGGCAAGGAGCUUUCGUACGCCAUAAGAACUUCAUCCAGCUCGGUAUGAAUCGCUGUUUUUUUCCUAUGUUGUAAUCUGAUACACAUGCGAGUAUAAAUCAAAGUUUUCCCAUAUGCAUGCGGCAGCUUAUAAGAGUGUACUGUGCGCUGAUGUGGUCCCUUGGAAAAGUUCUAAAUACUCCUCAGGUUAUGCGUGUCUGCAACUCUACAUUGGGUAAUAUAAUACUUGUCUUCUAUUCUUCAUCACCCUUUUCUCUGUAAUGUAAUGAUGCUUUAGUUAUCUUGUUACUUCUGGAAACUGACGGCUGUACAGUUUUAAUGUACUUUCAAUGAAAACAACCUACGUUUAAAUAUUUCUGGAUGCGUUCCCGGCAGUCCAGUUCGCCUGUUUCACAUCAACGUAAGCCAUUAAGGACGACCUUGUCUUUGCUCACAUCGCGGUGCAGCGAACGGGCACGCGGUUGAACACACCAUGACUUCAGUUGCAGUUGCAGAAGCUGCUACCUGAGCCAUGAUUCAACAGAGGUCAGUGAGGAAGUUUGGGUUCUCACUCUCCUUGUCCACACUGCCGAUGUGGAGGUGGCAACUGGAUUGGUUAGUUUCCCAUGUUAUUUCCCUUUGUUUACUUUUCGUUACCACUUGGGACAUCUACCUUUUCCUGAUCAAAAGGCUCUCAUCAUCUCCCUCACUUUGUUUGCUGUAAUAACCAAUCUACCAUCUUCAUUUAUACUUGUGUAGUUUCUUAGUAUGAGUUGUCUUUGGUCAGCUGAUUAUGUGUUAACUGUGGAUUAAUGUGGGUGCAGCAAAAACUUUUGGGUACAGACCUUGGUUGUUUAUUCAAUGUACAAAGGAGCCACCAUUGCAACCUUAACAAGGUUUUCGAGCAUCUUGCUUAAUUCACCAUUGGUAUCUACACCACGUUUUAAUUAAUAUUCUGGAUUACUGUUUCAUCCAACUGUCAUCUACAACACUUGCAGGUCAAAACAUUUGCAUACCACAGUUUGGACAACCUAUAGACCCCUAGAAUCUGCUGCAUGGAGUGAGUUACCAAAUAGACAUGCAUAUGAUUAUUUUUUUCUAUCACUAUUACAAUAUAUGGCUAUCAAUUUUUUAUUCAUUCCACGAUUCAUUGCUCUGAUUAUUUCUCGAGGUAUUUGUCGCCACUUAUUAUUUUUUAUGGAGAUCAGGGUGGGUGUUUCUAGACACAAAUAAUUUUCUUGUUGGUUUAUACGUUGCAUCUCAGGUUAAAUUAGUCAUUGAUGAUAAGGAAUGAAAUGUGGCCAUUGGUUAAUGGAUCUUUAGUGGAAUAGAUGUGAAAAGCAACAAUGAUAUACCCUGUAAAUUUGUGGGAUCACAAAACCAAGUACCUUGUUGAAUAUAGAAUACUCUCAAUGCUUAGAAUGUCACUACUAGGAAAAGGGCUAUAGAUAAUAUGGACAUUAAUGGCGCACCACACAUGUGGUGCGCCACUACUAUAUAGCAAUGGCGCACCAUGUGUUGGUGCGCCAUUAGUGUCCCCACACCAAUGGUGCGUCACUACUAACAAACUUUUUUUCUUCCAAAACUAGUAAUGGCGCACCAGGGCACAGUGCGCCACUACUAACAAAGUUUUUUUUACUUAUUUUUUCAUAACUAGUAAUGGUGCACCUGUGUAUAGUGUGUCAUUACUAGUUCAAAUAAUGGUGCACUACACACACGGUGCGUCACUAUUAACAUUUUUUCAUAACUAGUAAUGGUGCACCUGUGUAUAGUGUGUCAUUACUAGUUCAAACUAGUAAUGGCGCACUACACACACGGUGCGUCACUAUUAACAUUUUUUUUUGCAAAACUAGUAGUGGCGCACCACCUAACUGGUGCACCAUUAGUAACGGCGCAUUUGUAGGUGGUGCGCCAUUAGUACCCUGGGACCAGCUAAUAUUUUGGACAACCACCUACCACACUCACUUUCUCCACUUCAGUCUCUCCACCGCCUCCUCCAAGCUUGUCUCGGUUGCCUCCUCCUCCUCACCUCAUUUACACCAUAGAUUCAUCCAAAUUAAGUGGUUAAAUUACCUUUUUUGGUAGGUAAGUAAGGGGAAAGCUUUCUUUAUGUUGUAGAUCUACUUUUUUCUCCCUCCAACAAUGUACACAUGCACUUUUUUAUGGCCUGGCUACAUCUAUGUAUGUUUGUGGUGUUGCAUGUAUGUUUGUGUUUGCAGGUACCGGUAUUUGAAAUGCGAUAGUUGCCAAUAUUUUGCCGGAAUAUUGAUUCAUUUCCGUUUCGGCGAGAAUUUUGGCACUAUGCAUUCUUUUUGGUCCUAUUUUUAGGCAAAGUCAUGCCAAAUUUUUCUUGGUUCUAAAAUAUCGUUUUUCUCUACCCCGCAGGCGACCAUGGUCCGCACGAUGACCGAAGGCAUCAUGAAUAGGUUUUUGAGCUCCGCGAAGGCCGAGAUGCUUCAAAAGAACGAGACGGAGAUAAGAUGUCCAUGUCGAAGAUGCAAGCUGAGGAGCCUUAUGGACCUGGAUUCCAUACAUGUGCGGGACCACCUGCUCUUGCGUGGUUCCAUGGAUGGCUAUCGGUGGCAAGGUGAUGAAGAUGAUUAUGAAGUCGUCCAUGGGGGCCGGGCAAGAAAUGAGGAAGGGCAUGAGCAAGACAACCGCGGCGAAGUCGGGCGAGAAGACGAAGAAUCUCCAGGACAUGAUCAUGAAGUAGAUGCGGUACAUAGUCAUCAUGUAGAAGAUGCCAGACAUGGUGAUGAGGAAGAUGACGGAGCAGACGAAGGGCAUGAUCAUGUAGAUGAAGAUGCCGGAGCAGACGACGAUGGACCAUCGAUGGGCUGGGUGCAGGACCCUCAUAUUCAAGAGCUGCUUCUCAAGCAGACGGAUAACACAAGAGCUGACGCCCGAGAGAAAGUCAAGCUGGAUCAACUAGAGAUAGACGCGGUUACUCCAUUGUAUAAAGGAUGCAGGCCCGAGGAUACCCGCCUGAAAGUAACGCUCAUGGCUCUGGAGAUGAAGGUAAAACACAAAAUGACCGACGCAUGUUUCGACGAGAACAUGUCAUUCUGGCACGAACGUCUUCCCAAGGGGAACAAGAGCCCGACCAGUUUCGAGGAGGCGAAGAAAAUCGUGUGUCCUCUGGAUUUACCGCACGUGAAAUACCAUGUGUGCAUGAACAAUUGCAUCAUUUAUUGAGAUGAGCACGCGGAGUCUACCAUAUGUCUGGUGUACGACGUCACUCGAUACAAGAAGAGGAAGAAAGCUCCUCGAAAAGUGGUGUGGUACUUUCCGAUCACUCCUCGUCUGCAUCGGUAUUUCGCGGACCCUAAGGUAGCAAAGCUCCUGCGUUGGCACGCGAAUAGGGAGGAGAAGAAGCGAGAAGAUGACGAAAAUGAUCCGGAGAUAAAUAAAAAAGACAAGAUGCUGAGUCACCCUAAGGAUACGAGCCAGUGGCAAGAGUUGAACUUCGAACACCCAGAAUUUGGGAAUGAUCCAAGGAACAUCAUGUUGGGCGUGAGCACAGAUGGAGUCAAUCCGUUUGGCAGCCAGAGAAGCACACAUAGCAGCUGGCCUGUGUUUGUGUGGACGUACAACCUUCCCCCCUGAUUGUGCAUGAAGAGGAAGUACAUUCACAUGAGUAUGCUAAUUGAAGGGCAAAAACAACUAGGGAACGACAUCAAUCUGUAUCUGGGGCUGCUGAAAGAGGAGCUAGACACGCUGUGGAAAACGACAGCCAAUAUGUGGGACGCCGCAGAGAAAGAAUAUUUCCCUAUGAGAGCCGCACUGCUCACGACGGUGCACGACUAUCUCGGUUACGGAUAUGUCACGGGGCAGGUGGUCCAUGGAUUUUCUGGAUGCGUCAGGUGCAUGGAUGACACAACCUAUCGCCAGCUAGAUAGAGAUCCCGGGUCUUUGAAAACCGUGUUCAUGGGACAUCGAAGGUGGUUUCACGACGAUGACUCAUGGAGAAAACGCAAGGAUCUGUUCGAUGGUGAAACCGAACCCUGAAGACGCCCGUGUACGAGGAGCGGCGAGGAAAUAAACGAGUUGUUGAAAAAUUGGAAAGAGUGCCCACCGCCGGGAGAGGCGCCAGAGCCAGGAAAGAAGCGAAAGGCGCCAGAGCCACUGUUGAAGGUAUGGAAAACGAGGUCUGUUUUCUGGGACUUGCCGUACUGAAAGAUCCUCCGUGUGCCUCACAGCCUUGAUGCCAUGCAUAUCACGAAGAAUGUGCGCGAGAGUCUGCUUGGUACCCUGCUCAACAUGCCAGAGAGGACCAAAGAUGGGCCGAAAGCAAGGGCAGACUUGAAAUCAAUGGGCAUCAGGGAGGAGCUUCACGCUAAUAAUGAUGAUGAUGAUGAUGAGGCGAAGCAGGACACAGAAAGUCGUUGCAAAGGCAAAAAGGCCAAGAAGACUGGAAAUGACUUCCCUCCUGCGUGCUUCACUCUAAGUCAGGAGGAGAUCGAUCAGUUUUUCACUUGCCUCGGAGGAGUAAAACUUCCUUACGGUUACACGGGGAAGAUAAGCAGAUACCUAGACUCAGCGAAGCAGAAGUUCAGCGGGAUGAAGUCUCACGGCUGUCACGUGCUGAUGACGCAGAUACUUCCAGUUGCAAUCCGUGGGAUCAUGGACGCGCACGUCCGUGAAACGCUAUUUGGCCUAUGCAACUUUUUCGACAUCAUCUCUCGGAAGUCGGUUUGCAUGAGGCAACUCAAAAGGCUACAGGAAGAGAUCGUGGUGAUACUAUGCGAGCUUGAGAUGUACUUCCCGCCCGCAUUCUUCGACGUUAUGGUGCAUCUGCUGGUCCAUAUCGUGGAGGAUAUCAUCCAACUCGGGCCGACGUUCCUGCAUAGCAUGAUGCCGUUCGAAAGGAUGAAUGGUGCCAUCAAAGUAUACGUUUGCAACAUGUCACGUCCAGAGGGAAGCAUAGCCAGGGGCUUUCUGAUCGAAGAGUGCAUCUCCUACUGCACGAAUUAUCCAGGCAUCGAGAACCCCGUUGGUCUGCCCAUCAACAGGCACCUCGGCAGGCUCGCUGGAUGGGGUCAGCGUGUGGGUCGCCGUGAAAUACAUGUCGACUUCGAGGGUCGACUCGCCGACUUUAAAAGAGCAAACCUAGUCGCGCUACAACACAUAGACGUGAUCGAUCCUUGGGUGGUAGAGCACAAAACCUUUACUGAGAAGACGUACAAUGACCGAGGCCAACAGAGGACGGAUAGAGAUAUAAUCAAAGAGCACAACUCAUGUUUCACGCGUUGGUUCAAGCAGAAGCUUCUGUCGUACCCUUUACAUGAGGAUUCUUCCGCGGAAGAACAACUCAUAUUCUUGUCACAGGGCGCCGAGCACAACCUGAUGACGUAUGAGGCGUAGGAUAUCAACGGCUACACAUUCUACACCGAGGGAAAGGAAUGAUGAGAGAUGGUUAUCAGAACUCCGGGGUAACGAUAGAAUCCUACACCGGUAACGACAAGGACAGAUACUACGGAAGGAUCGAGGAGAUCUGGGAGCUGAGCUACGCUGGAGAGAAGGUCCCGAUGUUCCGUGUCAGAUGGGCCAAGAGCGUCCUAAAAGAAGACCGGUAUUUCACCACCAUGGUUAUACCUGUAGCCAAAUCCAUGACCGCAGGCGCAAACGUCAUCGCGAAAAAUGAACCAUGGGUACUGGCUUCCCAAGUGGACCAAUGCUUCUUCAUUACCGACCCGUAAAAGCCCAGUCGUGUUGUCGUGAGGAGAGGCAAAAGGAAUAUCAUCGGAAUGGAUGAAGUCGCCGAUGAGCAAGACUUCAACAAGUAUGGCGACUCGAAGAUGGAACAUGACGACGACGAUGAAGUACCAGCAUACACCACAAGAAGAAGCAGGAUCACCCUACCUAUAGGACGUCCGUUCAAGAGAAGAACUCCAUUUAUGAAAAAUAAGGGCAAGAAGAUCGUGAACAGAUAGCUAGCUAAGAUCGAUUGUAUUUGAAUUGUAGCCUUUAUUUCUCGAUUGUAUUUUGGCAUAUUGAAAUGAUAUUUCUUCUGUUCUAGUGUCCUCAUAAAUAUUUAUUUAUGUUUAUUAUGGUAUUGAAUUUCUAACUCACAAAAAGUAUUGAAUUUGUUAAUAUUUUUUGAACUCAUGAAUAUUUUUAAAUUUCAUGGGCACUUUUUGAAUUCAUGAAUAUUUUUUUAAAUUUGAUGAUAUUUUUUAUAUCAUAAAUGUUUUACCAAUUCACAAAUGAAUGCAACUAAAAAUCCAAAAAAGAUAUUGAUGAUAUUUUUAAAUAACAAAUUUGAUGAUAUUAUCAAAUAACAAAUUUGAUGAUAUUUUUUCAUCUUCAUAAAUAUUUUCAAAUAACAAAUUUGAUCAUAUUUUUUCACAUUCAUAAAUGUUUUCAAAUUUGAUCGUCAUUUUCUAAAAAAUUAUUAGACGCAACUAAAAAUAAUAAUAAAAAAUUACUUAUGGCGCACCUCCCGCGCCAGAUCCCCCUCCAUCUCGAUCGCUAUCCCCCUCGCCGNNNNNNNNNNNNNNNNNNNNNNNNNNNNNNNNNNNNNNNNNNNNNNNNNNNNNNNNNNNNNNNNNNNNNNNNNNNNNNNNNNNNNNNNNNNNNNNNNNNNNNNNNNNNNNNNNNNNNNNNNNNNNNNNNNNNNNNNNNNNNNNNNNNNNNNNNNNNNNNNNNNNNNNNNNNNNNNNNNNNNNNNNNNNNNNNNNNNNNNNNNNNNNNNNNNNNNNNNNNNNNNNNNNNNNNNNNNNNNNNNNNNNNNNNNNNNNNNNNNNNNNNNNNNNNNNNNNNNNNNNNNNNNNNNNNNNNNNNNNNNNNNNNNNNNNNNNNNNGGUUCCCCCGAACGGAAUCGGCCGAGCGCACCACCCACCCCUUCCCUCCCUACCAAGCGAGAACUAGGGUUCAAGACGCCGCUGCCGGCCCUCCGCUAGGCAACAAAAAAUCCUAAAAAAAUUACUAAUGGCGCACCGCUAGGGGGUGCGCCAUUGCUAUCCAAAAAAAGAUUACUAAUGGCGCACCUCUAGGGGGUGCGCCAUUGCUAUAAAAAAGAUUACUAAUGGCGUACCGCCAGGAGGUGUGCCAUUGCUAUAAAAAAAAUUACUAAUGGCGCACCGCUAGGGGGUGCGCCAUUGCUAACCCUUCCCCCCCACUAAAAUCCCCAGUCCCCUUUCUAUCUUCCCCAAUCGAUCACAUCUCACCCACCCACUGCCCCGACCCGUACUGCGCCGCCGCCGCACCCGCGCCCCCGCCGCCUCCCCCGCACCCGACGACCCCCGCGCCCGCUCCACCGCCGGAGUCGCCGCCGGAGCACUAGGAGGAGGAGGCCCGCGUCCACCAGGAGGAGGAGGCCCGCCGGAGCACGCCUUCUUCCUCCGACCGACCCCAUCUCGCCGUCGCCACCGCUGCUCCGGUCAGUCCUCUGCUCCUUCUGAUCCUUCCGACACACAGUCAGUCCCCUGCUCCUUCUCACCACCGUCCCUAACCCGUCGCCGGCGAUAGAGGAUCCGUCUCGCUGCCGUAUGCCCGAGGCCGCAACGCCUCGGUCAGCGCCUUCUGUUUCGCCGAGCGGCUUCGCCUCCGACGUCCAUCGCCCGUGCAACCUCGCCGCCGGCGAGCUUCUCCCGCCGACUACAGGACAAGUAGCUAACUGCCUCAUGUUCUGCUCUGUGAACUGCUAUGUGGUGCUGCUCAUGGAUGAUGGUAGGAAUUUAUGCAAAUAUUCAGAGACACAAAAUAUUGAAGUUGCUGUAACAGAUUACUUUCCCAAGUGAGAAAAAUACAUUCUAUUCCACCUGUUUCAUACUCGGUGAUUGUUGCAGCCAAGAAAUGCAUAGCCGAUGUUAAAUGGUCCCAGAAAUGACAGUACCCUAACAACUGUUCUGCUCAUGAUCUUAUGUUUAUUUCUUUGAUGAAAGUUGGUUCUUUUCUUCCCAAGUCAGAAAAAUUUUGCAGGUGCCAUAGCCGUUACUCCCCGUUCAACUUCUACUAAAGUUCCAUGUUGUGGCACGAAGCACUGAAGUUCACAGAAAAUCUUUUACAUUUCUAGUGGUUACCAAAAGCAUAAUAUGACCAGGACAAACAUAAACUUUGAGGCUGAAAGGAAAUCAAGUAAUGAACCACAUAGGUAUAGAAGGUAAACAAACUAUGCUAGUUGAGAAUGUACCUUAGGAGUCGAUCAGAAGUGCGGCUUCCCAAUAUUUCCUGAAAAAACCCAUGUUGGCUAGGAUAAUUUUCUAAGCUCCUGUAUAACUGAAUUAGAUACUUGAUUCCUGAAUCUUCCUAGCAAUAAAUCAACCUACAAUCUGCAACCGUAAAAAGAUCUAAAAGCAAAGAACUAUGACUAACUUAACAAUUGCGAAAGAAUAACAACAGAUAAACUAGAAUUGGGAAAUGGGAUCAAUCUCAAGAUAACAGUAGCGAGGCUGAUGUGGAAGUAGUGGAGAUGCAUAUAAUUUGCUAGAUCAUGCGAGAAUAAUAUCUGAAUCAAGAAUAUAUAACUCUUCGAAGCAAAAGAAAUGGGAAAACAAAAUUGUACAAUCUUUUUUAUGAAGAUAUGCCAAACUCCUCAACAGUUGGUUAGUCUCAUUAGGGUAAAAUAAUAGGAUACUUUGUUAAAUUAGAUGUCGUCAACAUGUUGCUGAUGAACUGCUGCUGUAUCCUGUAUGAUGUAUGUGAUGCUGCUGAUGCAUGCUUUUUUAUCAAGAGGCCAAACAUUCAUCUAGUUUUGCUAUGAAUUGCUGCUAAUGUAUGAUGUUUUCCUAUGAAUUUGCUAUGUGGUGCUGCUUAUAUAUGCUAGAACUAAUUUUGAUAUGGAUGUGCUGAUUGUGUCAAGUAGUAGUACAAGGUUGUUGCCAAUUUUCUUCAGAUCAAGUAAUGUUGUUCUGACGUGAGUAGUUGAAACUGUUUGAAGAUGUAGUUGCUUCACCUGCUAACUUGCUUACGAUUCUGCACUGUGCCGUUUAAGAGUUUUUAGAUGAACGUCUAUAGUGCCUUUUCUUCUCUGCUAACUUCGUUCUGGAGUUGUUGUUGGCCGAUAACAACAUGUUUGAAGUACAAUUGUUACCAAUGUGGGCUUGUGGAAUCCCAUGACAAAAGUCUUGAGUUGGAUUCAGUCAUAGGAUUUUGUGCUAUUGCACAUUUCCACCGGUACUUGGUCAUUGCUGGUAUCUCUUAACUAUUAACAAAUGGCCAAAUUGCAGCAAUUUGCUUUUAUUACCUUAUUUACACCAAGUUUUAGUUAAACAAUGAUACUUGAAUAAUUUUGUGCUACUUCUGUUAUGGUUUUGUGGAUAGUAUUUGACCUUAUGGUAACUAGUUGGUGUCAGGUUUUGGGGUUUUGAUUAUUGGUAUGAAGUACUGACAGAGGAUCUUAUUCACACCAAGUUUUAGUUAAACAAUGGUACUUGAAUGAUUUUGUGCUACUUCUGCUGUGGUUUGGUGGACAAUAUUUGAACUUAAUGGUAACUAGUUGGUUAUGAAAGCAUGAUACUGCUAUAACUUUAGUAGUAAGCAGAAUAGAUCGUGCUGCAGUAGCUCUAGGCAGAGCAUGUCAUGUUACUACCAUAGAUCGUGCUGUAUUGCUCAAUUAGACAAUUAGUGUUUAUGAAUAAGAAUAAUAAACCUACUGCUGCUGCUGUUAUGCCUGUAUCCACUGUUGCUGCUGCUGUACUUGUGAUGAUGUUGUACUUGUGAUGAUGCUACUUAUGAUCUUCUAAAAUGACCCAUUGGCUACUUCAUUACGCGGGGAUAAUGAUUUUGCAGGUACCCCGAGAGGCCCUUGAGUUUGCUGGAAUGUCGAUUAACUUUCGUUCCGGCAAAUUCGGGUACUCCAUAUGUCCUAUUUUUAGCAAAGGUCAUGCUGAAAUUUUCCAUGAAUUUUAGCAUGACUUUGCUAAAAAUAGGACAUAUGGGGUACUUGCGACUAAUGCAUGUGCCGGGGUAUCUUAGUACUUAAUUAAGUAGGAUCAACUGCCCCUUUAUUCUUGCUGCAUUAAACCCUAGGUGGCAAUAGAGCCAAGUGAUUAGGCCCAACUUAGAAUUCUCCUUCCCUUUUCUUGACAGGGUAUAUUAUUAGAAGAUACCCAUAUAUAUCAGUCAACCUAGGGUGCCUCGGCAUCGAUAAACCCUAAGUGAUAAAAGCUUAGCUUUUAGGAUGCCUCAGUGUUGACAAACCCUAAAUGAGGAGACAAGAAGAAGGGGGUUAGGAAGGGACUUGGACCUUAGUAACAACACACUAACAGGUUGCAUCCCAAAACACCUAGGCAAUAUCACAAACAUCUCUCAAUUGUUCCUUGACAAUAACCAACUUUUUGGUGACAUUCCUCAAGAAUUAGGUUGUUUGGUCAACUUAGAGAUCUUGUUCCUUGACAAUAACCAACUUUUUGACCAAACUUUUUUCCUAUUUAGAGCGAAACAUGGCCCACAACAAUGAGGCCGGCGGUUCGGGCAAGCAAUUCUAGGAGCUGUCCCAGGAGAUGGAGGAAGAACCUCAUCGCUAUGAGGACGCCACGGAAGACACCGAUCCUGACUACACAACCCCUAGUGGCAUCGGGGAUGACACCAGUGAUGGUGCCGCCGAGGAUGGCACCACUGAUGAUGGCAGCGCACGCACAGAUGGCAGCCAACCGAAGAGACAACGGAAGGACCGGCGCCCGAACGUGCUCGGCACCGUCAAGGAGGAAUUUACUGAAGUGUCCUCCGAGGGGCAUCCAACGGCGCCCAAAGAUUUAGUCGAGGGGUACACGGUUCAGCUCGGGUGCAUUCUCCGGAGCACCAUCUCGAUCAACACCGAGAACCUAAGGCAUCCUGACCGAGGGAAUUUGCGCAGCCUCCUCUUCACGAAGCUGCACGAACGAUACAAGUUCCCCGGUGACGUCGCAAACACACGCCUCUCAAGGAAUAAAGUGAAUAGUGCCGCCCUCAUGAAGAUGAGCACGGCCCUGUCUAGUUGGAGAAGCGCGGUGAAGAGAAUGAUUGACAAAGGUGAUAGUUAUGAGAAGAUCAAGGAGAAAAAUCCUUCGAUCAGCGAAGAUGACUACAAGGAGUUCAAGAUCAAGUGCGAGAGCAGCGCAACCGUGGAAUCAAGUCAAUGGGGGAAAGAUAUGCGGGACUUGAACUUAGGGGUCCACCAACUCGGUCCCGGUAGUUACAGAGUGGCGGAACCUAUAUGGGACAAGGAGGAUGCGGAGCGUGCCGAGCAAGGCCUACCGCCCCUCUUCGAGAAAUACUAUGACAAGCAGACCAGGAACUAUGUCAGGGCCCGGUACAAGGAGGACCCGGUAACAAAGGAGCUUACCACGGAUGCGAAGACCAAGGAGCUUGAGCAUGUUCUGGUAAGGAAUACACCCCUGCAUAAUUAGCUCCAUAUGGUUGCAUUCUAAUUAAUCAAACCAAAUUUCUAAAUGGUUCACAUUCAUUCUGCAGGACACUGAAAGCAGUAGCGCGGGGUCGUCUCAGAGCUCCCCUUGGGACAACACUUUAAAUAGGGCGUUGAACGUAAUGAAAAACAAGGAUAAGUUCAGUAAGCCGUCGUCAGCUGGUUGUGUGGCCGGCGAAGGCUUGUCCACGAAAUGGUCGUCAUACUAUAACGCUGGUGGGCGAAAGGAGAGAAAGACCAGCUCGGAAAGCCAGUCGCGCGAGGUUCAAGAACUCAAGGCACAAGUGGCGCGGAUUCCGGAGAUGGUCCAAGAGCAAGUGCAACACCAACUGGGAACGACGCUCACCGCCAUUGUGCCUACCUUGACUGAGGGGCUGCAGGCGUGGAUUGCGGGCGGCCAAUAGGGGCCGCCCCCCAGUUCCCAGCUUCCCGGCCAGCAACUCGCACAACGCGCAUGCGGUGCCAUUGGUGUCUCCAGCGGAGGCGGUAUUGGUGUCUUCGGCGCCGGCGCGGGCAUUGGAGCUUAAUGCACCCGGGUGUGCGAAGAAUAUGCCGGCCGGCACCUCGGCAGCAAGCGGCCCCUCUGUCACUUGCACGCCCGCUGUUGGCGGUGCCUCGACAUUAGCCGACCUCGACGCCAUCACGGUAACUAAGCCUCUCGGCCGAUGACUUCAUCUCCCUGCCUUUGACUGGGCAUCCCUGACGCCCUACAUGUUUUUGCAGGGCGUCGGCGCCGACGUUCCAUGACUCUCCUACACUUCGUGGGCGGCGAGUUGAUCGAUGUCGCCAAGGGCAGAAUCGUUCAACCGGGCAACCCCGUGUUCCACGGUAAUCCGAUGCCACCGACCGUGUAUAGGGUUGAACUGGUUCGGGUGCUGCCAGGCUACGACGACUUGUUACCUCCGUUUCGACCCACUGGGGCUGACGAAGAUGAUGUGAUGACCCUCAGCGCCUGCGUAAGCUGGCCCCUGCUUUGGCCGAAGAGCCAGAUUCCUUUGGGGGCGGGGGACACCACCCCACAGACAACACCGCCAGUCGUGCCGGCGCCAAGCCAUGGCAAGACUGCCACAAUGCUACCAGACAUGCCGGACAUGCAUAUGGAACAGGAUCCGGACAUGCAUAUGGCACAGGAUCCGGACGACGACGGUACAUUUACCAACGUCGAUAAGUACUUUGCCAAACAUGGGUGCGGUGACGAUUUCUUGGGGCCUCCUUCUCAAGAACCCAACCCUGCAAAAGACGACCGCUAUCUAGCUGGUACCGCGGAGAAACCCAAUUGCAAUAGGCGUCGUCUGGCGUUCAGUUCUUAGGAGACGCCUCCAGCUACCGCCUUCACCGAGCCUCAGAUAGCCGAGGUGCGAAAUAUUAUCAGCCCCAACACACUCAAGAAGGUGGUCUCUGAGCAGAACUCGAUCCCAUUAAGCAGCAGAAGAAGAAGGGACGGAAAUGAAAGAAUAACAAGGGCGGUGCAAGCCAGCCGGCACCAAGUACGAUCUGUGCUCAGGACGGGCCACCUUCACCUAAGGAUAUCUCGAGGAGGGUGCAUGUGGCGGGUAGGCCGAUGCUACCGACUAAUCUGCUCCAUGCUGCAACCGGUGCUAUGCGGAGUCUGCAUGACAGUGUUCUUUCUUUGGAGAAGCGGCGUCUCUCCGAGAAUGAUGUGGCAUACCCGGUUUUCGUGGCCAAGGUGCUAGAGGGCAAGGGCUUUGUGGAUAGCGCCAUCGGGGGUACGAUCGUCCUGCGGUUUGAUGACAUCUUCGCUAUGUUUAACCUUCAUCCGCUGCACUACACCUUCGUUCGGCUAUUUUCGCUGAGUAUGGAGAUGCGGAUCAUUAGAGACAAGACCCCGGACAUCGUGAUAGUCGAUCCCUUCUACAUGCGUGCCAAGAUCUUGGGCAGCGCUGGGGACCGGCAAGUCGUGAGUUCACACCUCGAAGGCUUUAUUCUGGCAAACCCAAAUAAGGAUAACUUCCUCGUGCCUUACUUUCCCGAGUAAGUCAUCUCCUCACCUCCCCGUAACAUAUGAUUUCUUAGAUUUCGAUCGUUCUUUUUUUCUAACAUUCCGUGUUUUGUGCAGUGACACACAUUGCACACUCAUCCUCUUAAGCCCGGAAUAUUCCAUGGCCACGUAUUUCGACUCGGACCGUCAGUCCAAGAAAGACUAAAUAUCAAGAAAGUUCUUGAUGAUGUUUUCCCCGGCUACGCCAGAUCUGGAGGCACCUUCAGCAGGACAAUUCGUAGGUACGGCAAGCACGUGUUCACGCAUAAUACGAUGUUCCCCUGCGUCAAGUAGCCGCCUGGCAGUCAGAAGGAUGCCUACUACGCCCUCCAUCACAUGCGGACGAUCGUACGGGACCAUAAUCACCUUCUGCUACCAAAUAAUCUCAAAGAUUGGGCCACACGCUUGUCGGCAAUCCAGGACGUGGACAUCAGACAAGAAUUCUAUCACAUCUAGUCGGAGUUUGCGAAAAUCAUCCAACAAGAUGCCCUUCGUACCUCAGGGCAGUUCUACCUCAGAUACCAACCGUCCAACAGUGAGAUAGAAACAGCGCUACAAAUGCAGGCUGACAACGCCCGCAAUUUCAUGACCAUCACGAAAGACGGCGGCUUCAUCCACGCUCCGGUCACUGAGUCGAGUCGAAAGUAGUGAUGCUAUGUAGUUCUGAAAUGUCGAUUGGCUCAUGUCGUAAUAUUAAACUUUAAUGAACUUGUAUGUCUUUUUGGUUUAGACAGUCGUUCAACUUAUAUGUAAUUGAUGCUAUUUAUUAGUAGGACCAUGAAUCGUGCUAUUAAUGUGUUGCUUUUCUCUUCCGAUCCUUUUGUUGCAUACUUAUAUAUUGCUUAUGUAUUGUCUGUGAAUUGCUGCUAACGUUUUGUUUGGCUAGUGCAUAGAGAUGUCUUUGUAUGUCGUGUACAAGGGUAAGGUUCCCAGAGUCUACGACGACUGGGAGGAGUGUCGGAGACAGGUUCACCAUUUCAGCGGUAACAGUUACAAAGGGUACACCACUAUGGCGGAGGCGGAAGUUAGAUACGCACGCUAUCUAGCGGGAGAGAGGAGGGAGCGUUGGAGGAACCGGAUGAAGACCAGUUUCAUCGCGAUGAUGCUCAUCGUGAUGACCGCAACUCUCUUCUAUGUGAUGGUAGUUUAGAUGACCGAUAUCGACUUGUAAUGUGAAGACAAACUCGCUACUCGCGGUCUCGAGACUUGUAAUGUUCUAACUUUGUUCGAUAUUUUAAAUUCGAAGACUAAUACGAUGAAUUGUAUUCGGAGACUAAUCUUCUAUUGUAUUCGAUAAAUCUACUGUUUAUAUGUUGUGCUAUCUAUAUUCUGUGCAGUAAUAUGUUUUGUAACCUGAGCAAAUAUCAGAAAAGAAAAAAAAUCCCUAAUAUUCAUACUAGUGGCGCACCACUCUGCACUUUAGUGGCGCACUGCAAUAAGCACACUAGUGGCGCAUCAUCCACAAGUGCGUCAUUAGGAAGCCAGAGCACAAGGUAAAUAUGGCCCCUGGGAGGCAUACUAAUGGCGCACCGUGUGAUAUACUAAUGGCGCACUCCCUGGUGCGCCAUUAGUGUGCGCCAUUAGUAUUAAUUACUAGUGGCGUGAUGCUAGUGACGCACCUGUAGUGCGCCAUUAGUGGCCAAAACAGGUGCGCCACUAGCAGAUUUUUUCCUAGUAGUGUGUAUAGGAUCAAUCACCCUUUUCACUUUUUUUCUGAGAUCAACUAUCUCUACUCCUAAUGUCUGAGUUGGUGAAUAGUAUCCAUGGUUUAUUUUCGUCGCAUCAUUUUCGUCAGUUUUGUUUCAUUGGUUUCUUUUCGACUCCCCCCGUCCUAGAGAAAUUGGAUCUUUUGCCUGCUUCGUCGAAAAAAAGAUGCCCCAGCCGCCAUACCGGAGCACUUUGCCGCCGCCGAGGUCCGAGGGGAGCCGCCGCCGCCGAGGUCCGAGGGUAGCCGCCACGAUCCUCCUCUGCACGCAUCAUCGCCUCCGACGCCGCCUAACCACGGUCUCCAUUGGUGCCGCGAUGGUCGUGGCCCCCACUCAGAUCCGUCCGCCAUUUUCCCCGUAUUGUCCCUCCCGACGGGAUCCAGUCUCCACCACUGCGCAUGGUGCGACGGGAUCCAUGGACGAGGGAAAGGCCGCGCGCCGGCGUCGUGAUGUGGUCGUCAUGUGGCGCGGCACGAUCCAGGCUCUGGAAUGGGUCGACGAUCUUGAGUUCGCCAUAGUGCCGCCCAGAGGCCCCCUUUGUGAGGACGCCUGCGCAGACGUUUGGUGCACCAACAACAGGGACAACGCCAGAGACUAGGUAAUCUUGUGAAUACGAUGGCACUGUCAUGUACAUGGUGCACGGUUCAGAGCUGAGCUCACUUGCAGCUGCAUGCUCAUGCAACCAUGGAUGUCAGGCACGGGAUGUGCUGGACAUUGUUCAGUGUCAGGAGGUGAGCAUCACCAUGACGAGGCACAGCCUUGGGGCAGCACUGAACGCAUUCGACAUCACUGAGAAUGACUACAGCUGCACGGCCGCCGCAGCGCGUUCACUUUCGCCCUGUGCGGCGGCAGCACCGGCUUCAAGAAGCGGUUUAACACUGCCACGGCCACCGGCCUCCGUGUUCUGUCGCGUCCGCAACGCUCGAGACAUUGUCCGCAAUGUUGAUGAAGGUGAAGGAGAUGGAAAUUUCAGAUAGGACAACAUAAAAAAUAUUCAGGCAUGUCUUUACCAGUACAAAAUAUUCAGUCACUGCCCUUGUGCCAAUUCUUUUCUGCUUUAUCCAUGAAUCAGUCUGUGCUUCCCCAAAAUUCAUGCAUUUGAAGUUUUGAACUAAAGUUUAGUUGAUGUAGGGAAGUGAAUUGUAGACGUAUUUUUAAAUAUAUAUUUAGUACUAGAAUUCUGUUUUCAAUUCAGUUUCACAUCAUCGUGUCACUAGAAAUUUCAACAUGGUAUGCUUGUUCGUUUAGACUAGACAACUUUAUGAAAAUGCGGCAUCGGCAUCAGUAUGCUGCCAUUGAUCGUAUUGCCAAGAUUUUUUGUACAUCAUCUGACACAACAUCAUAUAGUCAAUAUGAUUCCCUAUGCACACUGCCCACUAACUGAAUUAUUAGAAUGUUCAUUGUUUUCUUCCAUGUGUAUCCCUUGGGGUGUGGUUCUUAUGAGCAUUUAUUUGCAGGUUUAUGGAGUCCUCCUAGAGUUUGAGAAAUUUUAAUGAGAAUUGGUUUGACAGAAACGGGAGGAGGGGCCAUUAGGACAAUUUUUAUGUAGAAGAGAUCUCGGGCAAACUGGAACCUAUGGACCAAAACUGGGGCAAGAGUUCAGUAGCUUUGCUGUUGUUGUUCUGGAACUCUUUAUGUCGUGAAAUAGCUAGGAAAAUUGUAUUGGUGCACUUUGUAUAAUGUCGGGUCGUCAGACCGAGACAAUAUUGUAAAAAAACGCGCCUUAAGGUUUGCAUCGUUUGUAUUAAGGUUGUUCCUUAUUUCUAACGAACAUGCUUUAGAGGUGUUUUUACAUAUGUGCUCCUGCUUCUAUCUACUGAUCAAAUGACUUUCUAUUUCAUUGUUUUCUGCCAAUAUAUUAUUCAGCAGUAAUGACUGAUAAGAAUAAGAUAAGCCAGCCGUGAGUGUGAAGUAGCAACAUAUUUUGAAAAUUCAGAAUCUUCAUUGCAAGUACACGAACUAAUGUUUUUUCCCCACGCAUUGCUCAAUGAUAAUUUAUACCAUGUCUUUAAUUUACUAGAUGAACUGCACACUUGAACGCAGCACUAAUGGAAAGAUUCAGUAUCUUGGUCGGCUGUUCGCGGCGGGGCUUGUGGCUGGUGGUUGCGGCAGUGGCAGAGCAGUGUCCGAGAGCGAGGCGCAAGCAGUGGCCCCUGCUAUGUGGGCUGAUGGGAGCACACCGUCCAAGCAGCACUUCAAGUCUGACAAUGUCCGCUCUACACCAAGGUACGUGGGCACUCGUGCAAAGAUCUAACAUCUUCACCGACUAGGACUAAGGUAUGUGUUUUCUUCUGCCCGUGUGAUGUGGUGAUAAUUUGUUAUGCAUAUGUUUGUAGAUGUUAGUCAGUAUUUGGGAGAUAUGAGGUACUCCCUCCGCCCCAUAAUGUAAGACGUUUUUUGACACUAGCAUCUUACAUUAUGGGACGAAGGGAGUAGUUUGCUAGAUAAGAAAUAGAACAAGAACAAGAAGGAGCUUUAGUUGGGCCAUGUCAUUGUGAACUUGGAGCACAGAAAUUUAUAGGAGAUGGUUGUCGCAAAACUAGGUGCUUAAGAUCUGCGGAACUAUAACAUUUUUUGAGUCUAAGUAAAACAAAUUUACUUUCUGGGUCUAACUAUAUUAAUAAUUUCUUGUGUGAAUAGAUGGGCCUAGCCGAGCAGGCCAUCACCAACCUAUUCGUGCUUUGGUUUAUUUUAUUUGUGUAUUUGUGUUCUUAAUCUUUAUUUUGUCCUCUCAGGCUAGAUUUGAAUUUGUUGUCAUAGAAAAAAAAUAUUUUUAUCGCCUUUAAUACUAGAGGUGAUCCAGUUAUGUAUGCAAGACUAUGCAAGAUCCUACAAAAAAGUUGAACUGAAAAGUCUUAUUUUUUACUUUGUUUAGUUUCCUUAGUUAUGUGUCGAAAUGUUGGGAGAAUAAAGUUCAUGCUCUGUUCGCACACGGCGGAGACAACCAUGGCAAAGUCACCGAGGGGCAUCCGGAUAAAGUGAGACACUGCGUUGUAUAUAUAUGGCCAGAAUAUAUAACCAGGUUCUUUAUAAAAUGCACGAUGGGUAUUCUAUAUUGCACAUUCAUAAAUCUUCCAUGUAAAUUUUUCAUGCUAAUUAUAUGUAUUACUUGCAAACGAAGCGAAAGACAACAUUCCUGACAUUGUACAAGAAUAUCUCAAGCGGCGUUGUAUAGGAAUAUCUCGAGUGCAUUAAAUAGAUCUUAGUUGGAAUAGAUACUUACCAUUGCUCUCUUUGUAUACAUUGUUGAAUUACAGAAAUUUGUGUAACGAGUCACAUAUUUAUUAUUUGGAUGAGUUUUUUCACUUCCAUGAGUGGUAUACAUUAUAUUUAUAUGUGCAAUCAAGGAAGAAAAAAAGCCCGUGGCAACGCACAGGUGUUCUACUAGACAAGAAAAAAUUUAAUGUGCGCAUAUACAUUAUUAUUCUUCUUACCAUCCAAUUUUUAGGAAGAAAUGAGCUCGGAGCUCGACACCCCAUCCAAUGGGUUUAAGUCUUGAGAAAUUUCAGUGCAUACUUAACAUGGAGCAACCUAUGGACAAUGAUUGCUUCAACACCGCCGUGCAUAUACUGUCAUGUGACGAGGGAGUAUUUUCACAGACCCUCCUAUAUACACUAUAUGGAUCUAAGAUUUUGUGUAAGUUAUCAUAACUCUUCAUUCUAUGUGGCAUUAGUAUCAACAUUUUGAAAUAAUAUCUCUUUUUUUUACUUAGUCCAAGAUGCCAGAGUCAACCCGAGGUCAGAAGUGUUGCAACAAGGAAACUAUCCAGACGUUGGUGACAUUAUUUGAUAGCUGGCCUGGGAUGGACAACGACAUCUCAUUGUGCAACAUGGUAAGUAAAGUAUUUUGUCUAUUGUUAUCAUGGUUUAUUGUUGUUUGUAAUAACUCCACUAGCUUGUCGAUUUAUCUUCCCUAUGCAUCCAUCGGCCGACACAUCUUGUAUGUCACCGACAAAGAGGCACGUCGUCUAAAUAUUAUGGACCUUAUUCAAACAUCACAAUUGUCAGAGGAUAAAAAUUUGAGGCAUGCACCGAAAUUAAAAAGUUUUGCAAAAGAUUUCAAAGAAGCACUUGAAAUAAAGCUGUUUGGUUGGAAUUCCGAUAUACCUAAAUGGCAACGUUUAUUUUCGUUUGGUAUUCCAACGAGUAUAGAUGGGUAAUGAAUUCAUAAUAAAAAGAUUUAUUUUUGUUAUCACUAUAUUGAUCUUAUUAUUAAUUUAAAAAAAUACAGGAAUGUGUUUGGCUAUUUUGUUUUUCAUUUUAUGCUCUGGUGGAACGGUAAUGAAUUGGUCAAGCCGAUUUGCGCGGUGAGUAUUGUUUUAAGACCUUCGGCAUGAAAUUUUCAUACUAACUACAUAUAUUGUUUGUGCGGGAUGGGUAUGAGUUGAGUAAGCGGUUUUUAUUAUACUCCUUCCGUCCCAAAAUUCUUGUUUUAGAUUUGUCUAAAUACGGAGGUAUCAAGUCACGUUUAGUAUUAGGUACAUCCGUAUCUAGACAAAUCUAAGACAAGAAUUUUGGGACGGAGGGAGUACUUGCUAAAUCAUCGUGGGAAUGAAGCUAAAGACAACUUUCCUUAUAUUGCGAAAUAAUUUCUUAAGUGCAUCAUCUAGAUAUGGAUAGUUUUGUAAUAGAUGUUUAGUUGGAACAUGACUUAGUUUGUUACAUGGACAUGUCCUUAAUCUUUCUUUUUGUUAUCAAUUUACAUUACAAAAAUGGAUUUCAAUUAUUCAAUAAUUGUGUUUGUGUUAUAUUGUUUAUACAUUUGUAAUUUAACAUGUAACUCUUGUAAAAUAUUUCAAGAGCCCGUGGCAACGCACGGGCACUCUACUAGUGUUAGUAGUGCACCUGCUGACCAAGACCUGAAAGUGAGCCCAUCAACCAUCAACGAGAUACGCAAAGAAAGACUGGGUCCUCGGGUGAUUAGUAUAAGUAUGUACGUAGUGUUAAGCAAGAGGCUUGGCGAAUUGGUAGUGGCUGAGGCCACCGGCUUGUAUCUGUCAUCUUAUCUGUAACAAACAGAGACCACACAUCGUUGCAGAGAUUCAAUCCCUAGAUAGACUCUAACACACAUCUUGUUCUUGAAAUGUUUGUUUGAUUAUGAUAUUAAGUGGAGGAAAAUAUGCUUAGAUUUAGAGAGUGACGGGGCGGAGAAUGACAUUAGUGAAUUAUUAGAGGCGUGUUCUCCAAAGCACAAGCUCAAAAUUUUCCAUAUGCAUAGCACAAGGCGUGUCUUGAUGCAAGAUGCGCGGCUGGAUUUUUUUUCCAAGUUACACGUGCACAUCACAAGGAGUGUCUCUUUCUUUCUCAAAGUUAUAUGUGCAUUGCACGUGCACGUUUACUAGCGGUAUAGAAUCGAAUAUGUAGAUACACCACUUCUGUGUUGGGUCCAAUGCUGCAAAAUUCUGAAACCCGGUUCAGUAUAGCCCUGCAUAUCAACAUGCGAUUAUAGUGUGUCGCCCAAAUACCAGGAGACUGCUUUGCUUGUUUUCAUCAUGCCGCAAACUAAAAAUACACAAACUGUAGAGAUUGUAAAUGUAAUUUUGAUUUCCCCCAAACUCUCAGGCGCGAUAGCUAAACUAGUGAUGGUGGAGGAUAUCAUGAUGUUGGAGUUAUGGGGGUCGUAUCUCCGCGAAUGAGAUAUAUAUACAGGGAGCUGCAUGCCACAAUUACAGAGCUUUCUUUUGUCAUGCAAUCAGUUCUCUUGGAAACAACCGUCACACUAUAUGUGUGUGGCCAUGAAAACUUUGUGACACCAGUGACUUGCCUUUUUGAUUCACCAUUUUCACGCAAGACUAGUUUUGCUCGAGACAAUAGUCUUCAGAUGAUACCAUGGUCGCUCCUCACAGCUUGGGACCUGUAUCUUUCCUGAACCAUGAAUAGUUGCAACAUGCCAGUUCCUCUGCACAUUGCCAGUUCCUCUGCACAUCCUCCAGUAAUUUGAAGCCCACACUUAAUUACACGAAAAACAAGGGAAAUCCAUCCACCGACAAAACCGAAGGACUCUCCGCUGCACAUUGCCAGUUCCUCUUCCUCGUGAGUUGGGUUAAGAACCAAGAAGCGGCAGCUGCUUCACCUCUGAUUCUCACAUACGCGUGGUAGAUCCACAAAGCAUUUGAGAAAUGGCGCGAAAGAAUUGAGAUUGAAAAUACUCCCUCCGUCACGUUUUUGACACUAGCAUAGUGUCAAAAACGUUCUUACAUUUUGGGACGGAGGGAGUAAAAAGAAAAACAAAUCACGAGAUCUCGAAACUCAUCAGGAAAGCGGUAGGACUGGGGUCGCCACCUAGUUGCAUCCACCCGAAGCGAAGUGGCCGAGAAACAGGGGCAAUUGAAAAUUUUAUUCAUGGGAGAAAAUAUUUGUUUAUUUUCUCCAUUUUUUUUCUGGUGCCUGGUUCUGCUGGUUGCUGGAGGAAGCGGGAGGUGGGUGUUGUUGAAAGGAGUGUCUGGGGAGCAGUUCAUUCGACAACUGGUAUUCUCCCACUCGCUACAGCAAAUUACAGACCCAUAGUAUAUUUAUCUAAAGCACAACUCAAUUGGUUCUACAUGAAACAAAAAUGCCUACUAAAUAAAAAUAAUACAUGAGAACUCUCUGACGAACUGGUGUACAUAAAAACAAUUAGGCUGAAAGCGUUGUUUUUUUUUUUUCCAAUGAAACUACAACACGAUAAUAGUGAUACAAUGACAUUGUUCGAGUUUAUUUUGGAAGUCCGUCGUGCUCCAACUGAAGUAGGGAAUGUGAUACGAGUUCAUGGUGAACACUAGGCUUAAGAUGCUAUCCAUGGUCGUGUUGAUCUCUGUAUUGCAAAUCCCUAAGAGUUGGUUCAUUGUGGCAGUGUAUGUCCAAAGACGAGUAGCGUGGGUUGUGGGCUCCCAAAGGAGAAUUAUUUUUGCUUGUUUUCCUAAUACCGUGAACCAAAAAAAAUAUGCGAAUGGAGGCAUGGUGAACUGGAAUUCAGUUUCCUCCAAAAUCUCAUGUGCGGUAGAUAAUCUAGUGAUAGUGAUUGAAAUUAUGAAAUCAGUCGCGUCGAGAAGGGGAUACCUAGAAGGAAGAGAUAUAAAUAGAGUUGCACGCCAUGGUACAGAGCUUUCUUCCUUUUCAUGCAACUAGUUCUCUUCGAAUCAACUGUCACUCUGAAUGUGUGUGCCCAUCCAAAGCUUGUGAUACCAAUAAGUUGCCUGGCUGACUAACCAUUAUUUUCACAUGACAAGUUGUGGUGGUUAGACUGUAGUCCUUCCAUGAACCUGAACAUGGUCACCCCUCUCAGCUUGGCACAUAUACCAUCUCUUGAACAAUCAACAUUGCAUAACAUAAUUCGGAUUUAGUACCAAUUUCAUUGUUUCAUGCUUUCUUACUUCUUCAAAUAGCUCCACUUCAUAAUAUAUGCUUGUAAUGUUUUGGGAGAUCUAUAUGAUUGUAAUUUGGUGAUAAAAUUAAUCAUCAACAAAAAAUUCCCUGAAAAUUAUUUGUAGACCUUUAAUACAGAUUGAGCAAAAAAUUGCACAUCAUUCAAAGAGGGCUCUACUGUGCCUUAAAAAAAUACUAUCUUAUAAAUUUCACUGACUGAUCAAAAUUCCCUGAAAAUUAUUUUACCUCAUAGUAGUAACCUCUUAGUAGUGGCACAGUCUUAAUAAAAUAUCUCAUAAAUUUCACACAAAUUCAGCUGCAGCUGAAAAUAAGAAAGAAGGAAAACUUAUAUUAGAAAAAAAAUUGAGCACUUUAUCAUAAUUAUGUUGACAAAUGUUAAUGACCGUAUUAGCUCAUCAGAACUAUUAUUAGCAGUUACAAUACGGUCAAACACGAUUGAUUUGCACAGCUUGACCACUACUUCAAGGGAAGUGGCGGCACGCUCUGCUCGUUCUGGAAGUAGUCGCUGGCGUCCACCUUGCGCUUGAUCUUGGUGAGUCUCCUGAAGUUUGCCGGCCCGAAAUAGCUCUCGCCCCACACCUUUUCAGUUUCAUAGCACGUGACCCCACCGACCACCUUGUUCACGCCCAUGUCGAGGUCCCGGUAGUUCACGUAGGCGCCCCUCGGGUUCUUGCUCACGUACGGCGUCAUGAACUCGUAAAGGCUCCCAAUCCAGUUCGGUGUAAUGUCGCCCCCGGCCUCUUUGCCCUUCCACAGCUCCACGUAUUGGAUGUUGUAGAGCAUGUUGCUCCGGUGUGGGAACGGGAUCUUGUUGGCGGAGAUGCGGCCCAUUAUUCCGCCGUGCGGCUCAAGGAUGAGUUGCCCCGACCCCGUGCCGUUGGGCCAGAGGAAGAUCUUCUUCCAGGUCUCCUUGGUGAGGGCUUUCUUGACGUAGUCGGACUUGUUCUUAACGAAGGGGCCUAAGGUUGUGGACCGGUUGAGGAGGAGCGCCUCCAGUGGCUUGCUGUUGAUGGCCUCGCCGAAGUAUAUGUACGCCGUGUACCGCAGCCAGCUCAUCUCCUUGCAGUCCGCGCUUGUCACCCCGAGCUCCGGGAAACUGCUGCGCAUCGUCGCCACCACCGUGCUACAGUUGCCGAGGUAUAGGGUCUGGAAGUUGGCCUGACUCUUUUGGAUUACCACACGUAUGCUGAGGUCGUCGGGGAGCGCCGGCACGAGCAUUUGCCAUUUGGUGACCGCGUCGACCGCGCCCUGGUCCAUGGUCUUGGCGACUUUGAGGAAGGUCACGUUCGGUGUGGGACCGGCACGAGCCUAAGCUUCCACGCCAGCACGAUGCCGAAGUUCCCGCCCCACCGCCAUGGAUUGCCCAGAAGAGGUCGUCCCGCAUGGCCUUCCUGUUCGCCAGCAGGUUCCCGUUGGAAUCGACCAUACUAGCGUCAAGGACGUUGUCGGCCGAGAGUCCAUACUUGCGCAUCAUGAGGCCUAUGCCGCCGCCACUGAUGAUGCCCCCCACGCCCACGGUCGGGCACACGCUAGCCGGGAAGCCCAGCCCUGGCGCCGCCGUGGCGACGCGGUAGUAGAGCUCUCCGGUUGUUGCCCCGGUCUCGACCCAUGCGGUGGCCUCGUGCGGGUUGACAUGGACGGCGUGGAGCUUGGCGAGGUCGAUCACCGCGAACGCCUCGCCGUUGGGGAUGGCCUACCGCACACAAAACCAUCCUCCCUCGCCCGCAUGCGUUUCCUUCCGGCGCCAGUUGCCCGAAUUCAUGCCCCUGUAAAGUGGCGCUCCGCAAUGACGCCGGCCCAGAGUGGGGGCGACCUUUCACUGGCGCCAACAUAUGUUGCCAAUCGAAGUGGGUUCGCGCCUGUUCAAUGUCAGAGCGACGAUUGCUGUACAAGACGCGGCAGAUAUCUACCACGCCCGUCCAAUGCCCGCAUGUUCAUAUGUUGCCAUUAAGCUGGCUCGCCGGCCAAGGAACCAACUCCGACGCCGCGCAUUGAUACACCAAGGAAUCCACUAUUUAAAGAGGGUCACACUCGGCUAAAUUUCACAUCGCACUACUUCCGCUCCACAUCCUCCUCCCUUGCACCGCGUCCAUGAUGACCGCAAGCUCUAGCUUGAUGUGGGAGAGACUAUCAUCGGACCUGAAGCACAAGGUGACCGCCCUUGCAGCCGCCUGGCAGAAGCGCCGCACUAGGCCGAUCGAGUACGGUAUGCCGGUAAGUUCGCUCGAGGUCUUCCACGACGACCCUACGGGCUCUGACGAUAACACAGCGCCGGAGCCAACACCAAUGCAUGCCGGCUAGACCAUGGAGCUGGCGCGGGCGCACUACGCCGCCGCAAUGGCGUAGGAGGAGGAGCUUGCGCCGACUCCCAUGUCGCCGUUCUGGUAGGCGCAGGGGGAGCAGAGGUACAACCUGUCCCUCCUCGAGCAGCACGGGCUGGCGUAGGUCCACACGACAAGCGCUCAAGCGAGGCGGCCGUGGCCGCCAUGGCUAUGGCGAACAGAAACUUCAUUAAGGAGCAGCGGGCGCUCUAUGAGGGCCGAGCAUGCUCAAGGUGCUGCUUGCAACGUAGAGCCGGAGCAGUCGGAUGCGGACGGGGCCGCACACGUGCUGGUAGCGUUUGUGGUCCAAGACUCCAGCGCCAUCCAACUUUCGGGGACAUAUGUGACAGGUGGACAUUGACAGACCUUCCAUGUCCACGAUCGACCUCAGGUCCACAGGUGCCCGUGACGGAUAGGUCAUAGACUUAUCUGUGCCCGAGUAGGGCAUUUGAGGCGGCAUGAAAAUGUGUCCCAAGUGUGCCGAUCCGUCUCCCAUUUUCUACUCUUCCUCGCCGGAGACCGCACCUCCACUUCACGGGUCUUAAACCCCGCCACCGUUCAUGGAGACGAUAGAUGACGGAUGCGGUCACCUAUGCGGAAUACAAAAGAAGUGGACAACGGGCUACGCUGUAAGAUAGGUUUAGGUUCCGACCACUUUUUUUUAAUAAAAUUGAUCGAAAUGUAAUGACUUCCGUCUGAUUUAUAUGAAAAUCCGCCGUGUUCGCAUAAAUUUUGUCCAAUCAGUUUAAACUUGGUUCGAAAUGUAUGCGGGCGGUGUUGGAUGGCGGUCUCACGCAACCGUGUCCAUGGUCAAGCUGAUGGAUGCGGAGGCAAAUUUGCGGGUCAAUGUUGGUGAUGCCCUUUGACAAGGAUUGCACGUGGGUGUGGUAGUAUAGCUGGCCAGUGGUAAAUGCAUGCAUGCAUGCCCGAAUUCGCUACGUGUUAGUUUUAUGGCAGUGAGUCGGAGCAAGCUGAACUACUCCUACGUGUUAGUUUGAGUCCGAGCAAGCCAAAUGCAUGUCCGAAUUUGCUACGUGUUAGUUUUAUGACCAGGAUUACGAUGCGAAGUGGAGUACUUCGUCGACCUCAUUUCGUAAAAAUGUCUAGAGUUAAUGCAUCCAAUCUCGAUCUAUAUCGCCCUAAACCUCUCCUCCUUAUCGUCUCUCUACCUCUCUCUCUCCCAACCACCUCUCUAGCUAGGCUAAACGCAGCCUCUCCUUGCUAGUCUAGUCGCGGGCCGGCCAUGGCGACUCUUGCCGUGCCAAGGACCGUGCCCCUUCAGCUCGGCCAUCAUGCCACCACGUCGCCGUAUCUGCCGAUGCCCCGGCCACAUCCGGCCGCCGGGAACACGUUCCACCCGCCAAAACGCAUCGUGGCGCUUGUGCGCUGGAGCUGCCCUCCGUUGGGUUGGUGCAAGCUGAACUUUGACGGAUCGGUGAAGCAUGACGGGUCCGGGCGUGCCAGCAUCGGAGGGGUGAUCCGGAACAGCGGUGGCCACGCCAUAGUGGCGUACGCGGAGAGGACGGAGCAUGCGGGCGUGGGCGUGGUGGAAGCUCGGGCGCUGAUGCGCGGGCUUGAGCUUGCGCUCGGGAUGGGGUGGUGGAGGGAGACGACCUGACCUUGGUCAGGCUGCUGCGCAGGGAGUCCCGGCACACGCGCAUCCCCUCGGCGAUGCACGACGAGAUCGUGCGACUCCUAGGCUGCUUCCGGGUUUGCCACGUGCAGCAUGUGUAUCGUGAGGGGAAUCAGGUGGCGGACACGACACGCUCUGCCACCAGGCUUACCGGUGCCCUGACGUCUGGACCAUGGACCGCCCGCCGUUUGGGCCAAGGUGGAAUGUGACCGUCGUGCCGUUGCGUACGAGCGACUACGGCCGGCGUGAUCUGGACGACCGACCGGUGGAGACUGAAGUGAUUUCGGAAAGAUGCCAGCAAGUCUUGUUUACAGCUCGGGGGCGAUUCUGCAUUUCUGCUGGAGCAGGCAAACCAGGAGGAUCCACAGAUAUGCUUGAUGGAGCAGUCCAAAAUCCCCACGUCUCCGUUCAUCGGUUUACUUCAGUAGUGUCCUGCUUGCUCAACAAAUACUAGUACUGUAGUACAUGAAAGAGAUUAUGUAAUGUAUAGCUCUCUGUUAUGGUUUGAAGAAUAGUGCCAAGAUUGUAUUUGAAGCACAACAAGUAGCGCCCUAACUUUUGUAUAUUCUCUUCAGAAAAUCAAGAUGUAUAAUGUAUUCAUAUGCCUAUGUAUUCCUUUGAUUCCAUUUUAGUCAACCAUACUCUAGAAUACCCGCAAGAAAAGUACAGUCUGUAUGUCCACUAUAAAGAGGCAUAUGUAACAUUGUAUUUUCACUACUUUCAGAGCAAUAUUAUUCAAGGUUCCAUCGUCGCCGCUGCCUCACCGAUGCCACCGGGGUAAUUAAGGACAGUAAAACUGCACAUAAUCCCUGCCCUCUCAAGCCUUAACAUCCUGGUCCGUCCGAUUUCGUCUUUAAACGUUUUUUGGCCGUCCGAUCAAACUGUAAGCGGGAUACAUUGAGCAACUGGACCGACUGUCCUAUGCGCAGCUGCUCCCGUGACCAAAUCGGAGGCCUGUGGUUAAUCGGGCGCUCAGCCUUGCGUGAAGCCCACUUUGGUCUUGCAGAAAAAACUAGCGAGUGAGCAACCGUCGUUUGUUCCUCACGCUGCCCCCUCCUCUCCCCGCCGCCGCCGCCCACGAUGGAAUUUCCUCCCUCGUCGCUUCCCCGCACGGCCGCACGCCACCGUCGCUGCCUACGCCUCCGGAUCCCUCGCCCGCCUCGCGGCCACUCACGCCAACAUCCUCGCCCCGGACGACUCCCUAUUGUUGCUCAUCGCGCCCCUCUCCGCCACCUCGUCUCCCCGCUUAGCCUCAUGCCUCGUCAAGGCCGUAGCCACGCUUGUUUCCUGCGUCCUCCGCUCCGGCCCCGCCGGUUUGCGCUAAGCCCCCAACAACCACCCUUCCGCCCAGGCUCUCGCGUCGGGCGCUGACGGGGCACGCUCGGAGCUGUCACGGCAGGCGGCCAGGAUGGUCGCCGAGGGGUUGGACGGCGUGGUGCUGUUCCCGAGGCUGUUUGUGAUGUUUGUCGUGCUGAGGAAGGGGACGCCGCGUUCGCAAGGGAUUUGAUUGCUCGGCGAGAUCUUGCUGCAUUUCGACCGCGGGGAUGGGGAGGUAUGUGUUUUCUUCUUCUUUUUUUUUGAUCAAAGUGUUUUGUUCUUAUUCCCUCAUUGAUGGUAGUAUUCCGUGGUAGUAUUCAGUUUUCUGGGGAUUGCACUUGUUGGCAAUGUUGUGAGGAAUCUAGGGCACAUACACAACAUCUCAGUCAUAUUUAAUUUGCCUCCAUUUUUUGCACCUGCAGGAUAAUGAAACAACUUCAUCUGAAGCUUUAUAUAACUCACCUAAGCUUCUACAUGGUGUGUUUGACCAGUUACUCGAUGAUCUGGUAAGCUAAUACUAGGCCGCAGUAAAUUCCUUGAUAUAUCUGCGCCAACUGAGUGUAUCUUGAUGUCAUUGGCCGCAGCUCAACACUAGGGGUCGUAAUAUAUAAUUCAGCACAAACAGGGUCCUGAGGUUAAUAACUGUGUAAGCAUAUAAGAUCAUCUAUUUCUGGAGUUAAUUUGUGUUUUCAGGAUAUCGGCUUGGAUGGUGACUAUAUCCUACUUGGUACUUCUACUCAUACAUAAAUUCAGAUAUGCUCAAUUGUCACCAUCUAUUCAGUUGCAUAUAGGGCUGGACACGAGCCGAGCCGAGCCGAGCUUGAUCCGAGCCUGGCUUUGGCUCGCUCUGAAGCGGCUCGGCUCGGCUCUCGGCUCGCUCAGCCAACGAGCCUAGUUCAGGCGGCUCGGCUCGUUUUAGGUGUGGCUCGGCUCAGACCAAGCCGGCUCAUAAGCCAGCUGCCCCAGAGCCUUUGUACUUAUGUAUAUUAGUAUAUACUCCACAAUCUUGAUUCUUUUGCAGCAAUUAAACCCAUAUUUUGAAAAACAAACAAUUUAUAUUGCUAAAAAUGAAACAUCCAGCAAUCUAUUGUUUUAAGAAAUGGUCAUAGUAAUGAAAAAUAAGCUUUCUUCUAUGAGUUCUUCUACGAAAAUUGUAACAAUGUAACAGAUUAGAGAAAGAAUUGGGCAGCAUUUCUACUGUAUUUUGGACAGAACUUCCUUUGAUCUUUACACAGCAAAACAUCAAAUAUUGACAGCCAAACAAAAAAAUUUUGUAUAGCAUAACACAUCAAAACAACACACACACACACAUGAGCUUGGACACUCAUCCUCUUCCACCUCCUCAUGAUCCUCCUCCGCUUGCUUAUCAUGUUCCAUUGCCUAGCACACCAAAACAACACACACACACACAUGAGCUUGGACACACAUUUAUUUGACUUUUGGAUAGCAAAAACAGCACAUACAUGAGCUUGCACAAAUAUAUAUUUGACUUUUCGAUAGCAAAAACAGCACCUAGGUGAGCUUGCACAAACAUAUAUUUGACAUUUGUAUACCAAAAAGAGCACACACAUGAGCUUGCACGAACAUAUAUUCGACAUUUAGGUACCAAAAACAGCACAUAUGAGCUUGGGCACACAUAAAUUUGACUCUCAAAAAGAAAAACAGCACUUACACGAGCUUGCACAAAUAUAUAUUUUGCACCUACAUACCUGGGAAGAUGUAGCCUCCCUCUCAUAGUAGUUUGCGGAGCCGGAGGCAACAGCGAUUCCGGCACGCACCCCAGCGCCGGUGGGGUCAGGGAAACGUCAUAGCAGAGGUUCCUUUUUUACCCUAUACAACAACUCAGCGAUUGGGAAAUUGCUGGAAUCAUUUGCCGGCUUCCUUGGCAGCCGCAUAGUAGCUACUGCAUUGCCCUUCCCAUUCCCCUUCUGCAUCCCCGAGACCGGCAACUUGCUCUUCAUAAUGGAGCCCAACGUCCUUGUUUCUCCUUCUUCCCACCCGCCUUCCCCUUUUCUUUGUCCAUUGUCUGCAUACAUCAGCAAACAACAAACGGUCAAUCAUCAACAACAGUAAACUAAUUAGACAUGGAGUCUAUGUAAUUUUCCAGCAAGUAGAUUAUUUUUCAAGCUGCUAUGCUACAACAAGUAGAUCAUCAACUAGGUCAUCAACAACAGAAAACUAAUUACACAUGGAAUCAAUGAAAAUUUUGAUCUAUCCAUCCAUUCUGCCCUACAACUCCAUCCAUCCAUGAUCCAUCCAUCCGUCGCCGCUACAUCUACCCGUACAGGCUAUAAUACAUCCAUCCAUCUAGCCCUACGUAGAUGUGGGAGUUCGGCCCUACAUCCAUCCAUCCAUCUACCUGUCUGUAUACAUCUACCUCACUACAUCCAUCGAUCCAUUGAUCCAUCCAUCAGAUGUGUACUAGAAGUUCGAACUACAUAACUACAUCCAUCGAUCCAUCCAUCCAUUGAUCCAUCACAUGCGUACUACUGAAGUUCAGAGAGCUGCGGCCAGGGAUUGGGAAGGAAGGAGGUACCUGCUCCGGCUCGUCAUGUUCCACGAGAAACCAGGGGAGGCGCGUCCGUCUGCGUCCGGUGUGAUGAGGAACGGUCGCACCUCGCCGAUGCCACCGGGGUAAUGAGGUAACCAAAACAAAGACGAAUCUACAACAUAUACUAGAACUAAAAUAUAUGAAGCAGUGGGUCCCCUCUCCUCCGGCUACCACCGAAAUUGCCGAAAGGGAGAGAGGAGGUGGGACGAUACCUCCUAAAUGCAUGUAUAGUUUCUAAAUUUUAAUGGCAUAUUCUUGUAAACUAUGUCGGUGAGUAUGAGUUUGUGAUUGCACGAGGGACAUUUUGCGGGCAAUUCGACCCUUUUCUUCUUAAGAACGAGUUCUGACGAUCUCGGGUCCCAUGUCCCGCUACACCCAAGUGGGAAUCUGUGAGGAUGCAAGAGCAACUCCAACGGGGCGACCCACUUCGUCCGCUGGCGUCGGUUUGGGUCGGCGCGAACACAAAAGACGGCCCAACGCGCCAACUCAAACGGACGCGCGUCCGCUUUUCAUCCGCGGGCGACCCAUUCCCGGUUCAUUUUUGAGCCGGAUUUGCGUCGGUGUGGACAAGAGACGGACGCGCGUGCGCUCGCCUUCUCCUUUCCCCGGGCCUGCUGGUCGGUGGCACAUUGGCCUUCCCCAUCCAACAACAACCACGCCCGCUUCCUUCAUCGCCGCCGCCGCCGCCACCCAUUUUCCGGUGACUCUGCCAGCUGCCGGCGCCCGCAACAUCCUCUGAGCAACGCCGCCACCUACCACGUCGCCACCGCCGUCUUGCCGCCGGGAACCCACUGCUUCCCACCCCGACACCCGCGCGACCAAGAAGCCGCCUCGCUGUCCUCGUCCAGACCCUCACUGGCACGCUCGUCGGACGCUGGCCCGCUCGUCGGACGCCGACCCGCUCAUCGGACGCCGGCAGCGCAGCUAGCUGGUCCGUGCGCGCCGUGACUCCCUUCGUCGGUCGUCUUCUUCGUCGACGCCCACAAAGUGUUUGACAGUUUGCCAAGGUACAAAAUGGACUCCGCCGCCAAGGUUCAAACAUUAGAAAUUUCGCCUCCGUUUCCGUAUGAGUAGGCAUCUUUUCAACCAUAUUAGAGAGGGGGUGGUCGUCUACGAUGACUACUUCGAGUGCAAAGAGGAUGCUGUUGGAAAGAUUGGUUUCUCCUCUCAUCAGAAAUGCACUACCGCCAUCUGAAUGCUUGCAUACGAAGUGCCUGGUGAUCUCAAUGAUGAGUAUGUCCGUAUGAGCGAAUCUACAUGCCUAGAGUCCCUGUACAAGUUCUGCAAGGCUGUUAUUGUUGUGUUUGGUCCUGAGUACGUGAGAGAACCGACUGCUGAAGAUACAACCCGUUUGUUGGCGAUGAAUGCCAGCAGGGGCUUCCCAGGGAUGCUUGGCAGCACAGACUGUAUGCAUUAGGAGUGGAAGAACUGCCCUUCUGCUUGGCAAGGGCAGUAUAAGGCCCAUGUUAGGGCUUGCACUGUCAUACUUGAGGCUGUGGUGUCUCAAGAUCUCUGGAUCUGACACUCUUUCUUUGGCAUGGCCGGAUCACACAAUGAUAUGUGCUUCAGCGGUCGCUGGUGUUUGCUAGGCUUGCCGAAGGCAACAACCCACCGGUGAACUUUACUGUCAACGGGCACAACUACGACAAAGGAUACUACCUUGGUGACGGUAUCUAUCCUCAGUGGACCACUAUUGUCAAAACAAUCCCCACCCCUGUCGAAGAGAAGAGGAAAAGAUUUUCCCAAGAUCAAGAGAGUGCUAGGAAGGAUGUCGAGCGUGCCUUUGAUGCUUUGCAAUCUCUAUGGGGCAUCAUUCGGUAUCCUGCUAAUACCUAGAGCAUGCAAAAACUAUGGGAGGUGAUGACUGUUUGUGUGAUCAUGCACAAUAUGAUCGUAGAAGAUGAGCGCCCGGAACAUCUGUACGAUCAAGGGUUUUAGUUUCAGGGUGAGAAUGUGGUGCGUGAGCAUGGAGUAGUGACAACAUUUGAAUAGUUCACCCAAUUCCAUCAUUAUAUACGUGAUUGGGAAACUCACAUGCAACUGCAAAAUGAUUUGGUUGAGCAUAUGUGGGCUCAUGUUGGCAAGCAAUAGAUGUAUCUUCUUUAUUCGCCUUGCAAAACUAUGUGAGACAUUUUUUCUUGUAUUCGGCUUGUAAAACUAUGCUAUUUUAUUCGUUUGAAACUAUGUUAUUUGACUAUAUGUUUGAAUGCAAAAGCAAUGCAAAAAUAAGCUAUUUGUUGAAAUAGGGCGGCCAUCCACCACGCCGGCAGAUAUGGGUCAGUGCGUUGGGCGCACUGCCGACCCAAAUUUGAAACAGGGCGAACGCUGAAGGAAAUAUGCCCUACAGGCAAUAAUAAAGUUAUUAUUUUUUUCCUUAUUUCAUGAUAAAUGUUUAUUAUUCAUGCUAGAAUUGUAUUAACCGGAAACAUAAUACAUGUGUGAAUACAUAGACAAACAUAGUGUCACUAGUAUGCCUCUACUUGACUAGCUCCUUAAUGAAAGAUGGUUAAGUUUCCUAACCAUAGACAUGCGUUGUCAUUUGAUUAACACAUCAUUAGGAGAAUGAUGUGAUUGCCUUGACCCAUUCCGUUAGCUUAGCACUUGAUCGUUUAGUAUGUUGCUAUUGCUUUCUUCAUGACUUAUACAUGUUCCUGUGAUUAUGAGAUUAUGCAACUCCCGUUUACCGGAGGAACACUUUGUGUGCUACCAAACGUCACAACGUAACUGGGUGAUUAUAAAGGUGCUCUACAAGUGUCUCCGAAGGUACUUGUUGAGUUGACAUAUUUCGAGAUUAGGAUUUGUCACUCCGAUUGUCGGAGAGGUAUCUCUGGGCCCUCUCGGUAAUGCACAUCACUAUAAGCCUUGGAAGCAAUGUGACUAAUGAUUUAGUUGCGGGAUGAUGCAUUACAUAACGAGUAAAGAGACUUGCCAGUAACGAGAUUGAACUAGGUAUUGAGAUACCGACUAUCGAAUCUCGGGCAAGUAACAUACCGAUGACAAAGGGAACAACAUAUGUUGUUAUGCGGUUUGACUGAUAAAGAUCUUCGUAGAAUAUGUGGGAGCCAGUAUGAGCAUCCAGGUUCCGCUCUUGGUUAUUGACCGGAGAUGUGUCUCGGUCAUGUCUACAUAGUUCUCGAACCCGUAGGGUCCGCACGCUAAAAGUUCGGUGACGAUCGGUAUUAUGAGUUUAUGUGAUUUGAUGUACCGAAGGUAGUUCGGAGUCCCGGAUGAGAUCGGAGACAUGACGAGGAGUCUCGAAAUGGUCGGGACGUAAAGAUCGAUAUAUUGGACGACUAUAUUCGUGAAGGAAAUAUGCCCUAGAGGCAAUAAUAAAGUUAUUAUUUAUUUCCUUAUUUCAUGAUAAAUGUUUAUUAUUCAUGCUAGAAUUGUAUUAACCGGAAACAUAAUACAUGUGUGAAUACAUAGACAAACAUAGUGUCACUAGUAUGCCUCUACUUGACUAGCUCGUUGAAUCAAAGAUGGUUAAGUUUCCUAGCCAUAGACAUGAGUUGUCAAUUGAUUAACAAGAUCGCAUCAUUAGGAGAAUGAUGUGAUUGACUUGACCCAUUCCGUUAGCUUAGCACUUGAUCGUUUAGUAUGUUGCUAUUGCUUUCUUCAUGACUUAUACAUGUUCCUAUGACUAUGAGACUAUGCAACUCCCGUUUACCGGAGGAAUAUUUUGUGUGCUACCAAAUGUGACAUCAUAACUGGGUGAUUAUAAAGGUGCUCUACAGGUGUCUCCGAAGGUACUUGUUGAGUUGGCGUAUUUCGAGAUUAGGAUUUGUCACUCCGAUUUUCGAAGAGGUAUCUCUGGGCCCUCUCGGUAAUGCACAUCACUAUAAGCCUUGCAAGCAAUGUGACUAAUGAGUUAGUUGCUGGAUGAUGCAUUACAUAACGAGUAAAGAGACUCGCCGGUAAUGAAAUUGAACUAGGUAUUGAGAUACCGACGAUCGAAUCUCCGGCAAGUAACACACCGAUGACAAAGUGAACAAUGUAUUUUGUUAUGUGUUUGACCGAUAAAGAUCUUCGUAGAAUAUGUGGGAACCAAUAUGAGCAUCCAGGUUCCGCUAUUGGUUAUUGACCGGAGAUGUGUCUCGGUCAUGUCUACAUAGUUCUCAAACCCGUAAGGUCCGCAUGCUUAAAGUUCGGUGACGAUCGGUAUUAUGAGUUUAUGUGUUUUGAUGUACGAAUGAGAUCAGGGACAUGACGAGGAGUCUCGAAAUGGUCGAGAUGUAAAGAUCGAUAUAUUGGACGACUAUAUUCGGACAUUGGAAAGGUUCCGAGUGAUUCAGGUAUUUUUGAGAGUACCGGAGAGUUCGGGAAUUCGUCGGGGAGUAGAUGGGCCUUAUUGGGCUUUAGGGGAAAAGAGAGUGGGGAGGCUGCGCGCCCCCCAAGGCCUAGUCCGAAUUGGACUAGGGGGAGGGGCGGCGCCCCCUCCUUCCUUCUCUUCUCUUUUUCCUUUCCUUCUCUCCUACUCCUACGACAUGGAAGCACUAGUAGAAAAAUGACCUAUAGUCUCGGUUCGUAAGGGCCAUUAGUCCCGGUUUUUGAACCGGGACUAAAGUGUCGGUACUAAUGUCCUAUAACUUUAGUCCUGGUUCUUGCAUAAACUGGGACAGACGGGCCUCCACGUGGCCCGUGCGGCAAGCCCAGGAAGGAGACCCUUUGGUCCCGGUUGGUGGCACCAACGGGGACCAAUAGGCAUCCACGCGUCAGCAUUUCAGGUGCUGGGGUUUUUGUUUUUUGUUUGAAAGGGGGGGGCGGGUUUAGGGGGUUUUGGGGGGUUAAUUUAGGUGUUUCAUAUAUUUUGUUAGCUAGCUAAUUAAUACAGAGAAGUGUCCUCUCUUGUCUCCGUGCUUGGUCGACGCUACGUACUAUACGUAUAGAGAGGACUAGACACGCUAGCUAGUAAGCAAAUGAAGGAAACAGAAGAUCGUCAUGAACGUAUACAUACAAAGAGAAGUGAUAUCGACCACCUCUCCUUCUCUGAGAGAUUGGUCGAACAACAAGUUCUCGUAUAUCUAUCCGACGCUACGUACUGGCUACAUAUAUACAAUAUAAGUAUCUCUUAAUUACAAUAUAAUCUCCUAAUUAAAAUCGAGCUGAUUAGGGUCCACAUGGUAUUCUCCGUCUUUAGUGAUCACGUGGUCAAGAAAGAAUGCCGCCAAUUCCUCUUGAAUUCCUCGCAUACGAUCUGGUGCUAGGAGUUCAUCCCGCAUCCGAAAUAUCUAAUUUGAAGAAGGGGGUCAAUACAUAUAUAUGAAUAAAUGAAACUGAACAGAAAUGAUGGUAAUAAAAUAAAAUUGUGAAUAUUAUUAUUUACGCACUUCAUAUUGUUUUUCAGAGUAGCCCCGCUCACAGGUCGUGUGGCGGAUGGACUCGCAAAUGUAGUAUCCACAGUAAUCAUUCCCUUGUUCCUGCCAUAACCACUUUACAAGAAAUAGAUCGAGGUCAAUCAAACUGAUAAUUAGCAAGCAUGCUAAAUGGUAUUUAUAAAACUAGCGCUUGAAUCACUAGGAGAUGUGUGGAACAUGCUACUAUAGUACUUACUUUCGGGUGUCUAAAUUGCAGCUUCUUUGGCAGUCCUGGAGUUUUUGAGGUGAAUUUUUUCCAAACCCUACCAGCAGAUAAAGAAAACAAUUAUUUGAUAUCAGGAAAUGAACAAAGUUGCCGAUAUGGUACGAUAAUGAUCGAUUUAACUUACUUCUCUAGAAUUUCAGUCAUGUCCGCAUACUCCUUGGGAUCUUUUCGUCUCGAGUCUAAGAUGGUUACUAGUCCCUGCUCAAGCUUAAUCUCUAGGAGAAUAUAGUGGAACCUGCGCACGCUUGCAUAACUCAUCAAUUACAUUACUAUAACCUCGACUAAUAAGGGAAACCGAAUAUGCACAAGACAGUAACACUCACUUGAAUUCGUAAGGGAAGGGUAUUAUAGCUUUGUUUUGAUUUAAUACAAACGAUUGUAGCAGCUUGGCCUCGGUUUCUUUGGCCUGAGAUUUAAUCAUAUAUGCAUAUAUGAGAUUUGUGUUAAUGAACCCAAUAUCACCGAUUUGUCGUUUCUUCAAUUCGGCGAUCUUCAAUCUGCAUAAUAUAGUGAGGAUAAUUAAAAAUAAAUGCAAUGAAAGAGCUGACCUAUAUAUAGAGACUUAAUGACAGAAGUAGUACUGUACUUACAGGCAGUAGCAAGUGAUCAUUAAUUUAUCGAGGGCCUUUAGAUUGAAAAACACGAAGAACUCCUCAAAUGGAACAUUCAACAGUUCAAUUCCAACGAGGUCAUGCUCCUCUCUGACUCUCAUUGUCAAAAUAUUCUUCCCCUCAGACUCUCUGCAGGUUUUCAUGUACCAAUCAUGGAAUCUGAACAUCAUCGUUGGUAGAGAUCUUUCAUCUUUGACGAGAGGUUUCUCAUACACGUAUUUGUGUUCGUCCACCUCCAAGAAAUCAUAAUGUACAUCGUCGGGUAGGUAAUCUUCAAGAUUGUUAUAACCGGGCACCAUCCUGCCCGGAACAUUAGCGACGAUAUCGCUAGACAUCUGGAGCGGUGGGAACGAUUGGUUUGCUUGUUCGCCGAGCUGGGCAACUUUUUUCCCAGCUCGUCGUUGACCACUGAUAGUACUUCCCGGAGACUUUGGCGGUUUCUUCAGGGCAGCCAAAGUAAGCUUCACUUUUACCGGAUCUAUCUGCUCCUCCGGAGGUGGACGUUUCUUUGUUUUCACCCGUUCAAAGAAGUUCUUCACUUCGGCUUGCACGAUCUGUGUGUUUUCCUCCAUGGUCCUCUCGUAUGGUAACUUCUCUAGAGUCUUGAGAGAAGGACCAUAUUUGUAUUGCCUCCCGGCUCUGGCUGUGCUGCUAGACGCCGGAGCAGACGGAGUAGCUGCGACCGUCUUUCCUUUCUUAUGAGGCGGAGGAGAAGGACUACGACACGCUGGAGCAGCCGAAGCGGCGGCGGGUCUCUUGAUCCGGCAUUGUUGACGAGGCGGAGAAGGAGGCUGGCUGCUCGGGGGCGCCGGCGCAGGCUGAGAAGGAGGCGGAGUGCCGCCACACGCCGGAGAAGGAGGCUGAGUGCCCUGAUCACUCGCAAGGGGAGGAGGCAGAGGAGGAGGCGGAUUGCCCUGACUCGUCGGAGGAGGAGAAGGAGGCGGAGGCGUCCAGUUCGGAAGGUUGAUGAGCUCCUUCCGCCAUAGGCAGGGAGUCUUCAGAGAAGAGCCCAGCCGAAUCUCCCCUUCACCCAUAGGGUGGUCAAGCUGAAGGUCCUCAAAUCCGUCCGUUAUUUGAUCCACCAUCACCCUAGCAUAUCCUUCUGGAAUCGGCUGGCCGUGGUAGGUUGCGCCAGGUUCAUUAGGUAUAACAGAGCCAACAGCCGCCUUGACUUUCAAUGUCAUCCAUCGCGUCAUAACGUGGCAAUGUGGAGACUCCGUGAUAGCAUCCACGGGGUAGCUAGCAGGAUCCGUGAAGACAAGCUCCAGCUGCUGAGUCUGCUCGGUGGAAGCCACACUGCUUCUCCGCUGAGAUGACGGGGUAGCUUCAGGGGAAGAUUCGGCAGUUCAUUUGUUAUGAUCUGCUUCUCGUUCCUCUAGCCCUUGUACCCUUUCGUGCAGCGCCUGCAGUUGGCUAUGCUCCACUUUCUUCCUCCUCUCCUGGGUUUUGUAACCCCCUGCGUCCGGAAAGCCAACCUUCCACGGAACGGAGCCUGGCGUGCCUCGUGUCCGUCCAGGGUGCUCAGGAUUCCCGAGGGCCAUUGUGAGAUCGUCCUUCUCUCUGUCUGGGAUGAACGUCCCUUGUUGCGCUUUCUCGAUAUACUCCCGAAGCCUUGUGACGGAUAUUCACAGUUGCUCUUCCGUCCAAACGCACUUCCCUGUUACAGGGUCCAAGGUUCCGCCAACCCCGAAGAACCAAGUCCGGCAACAGUCUGGCCAGUUCAAUGUCUCUGGUUCGACCCCUUUAGCAAUCAAGUCAUUCUCAGCCUUGUCCCACAAAGGUCGGGCUUUGAGGUAGCCACCUGACCCCGUGCGAUGGUGAUGCUUCUUCUUUGCAGCAUUUUUCUUGUUUAUUGCUGAUAUCUUCUUACUCUUUUCUGAUGUCUUGUGGGCCACAAAUGCGGGGCAGUGAUCUCUGAUCUUCUCAUACUUUCCGGUGAAUGAAGGUGUCAAAUCUUCGUCGAAAAACCCUGUUUUCAGCUCAUUCUUCCACCUCCUGAAUAGUUCUGCCAUCUUCUUAAGAGCAUGAGACUUGAUUAAUUGCUCUUUAACUGGCUUCUCCGGAUCCUCCUCUGGCGGUAGGGUGAAAUUUGCCUUAAGCGAUGUCCAAAGAUCUUCUUUCUGCAUAUCGGAGACAUAAGACACCUCAGGGUCUUCCUUCUUAGGGUUUAACCAUUGCUGGAUACUGAUCGGGAUCUUGUCCCUAACAAGAACCUCGCACUGAGCACAAAAUGCAUCCCUUGUCCGGAUGGGUUCAAUUGGCUUGCCAUCGCGCGCGAUUGCUGUGAUCUCAAACCUUUCAUCUGAGCGCAACUUUUUCUUCGGGCCUUGUUUCUUUACCGAAGUUGUGCUCUAUCCGGAGGGCUAGAGAAAAGAAGAAAGACGAGAGUUAAUUAAUAUGUGUACAUACAAAAACAAUGAAUGCAUCAAUUAGCUAGUCAGCACAGGCUUAACUAAUAUAUAUACCUGGCCGGACUCGGUUCGGUCACCGGAGCCGUCAUGAAGGUCUAUUUCUUCUUGUACCGACAUUGGGUCACCGGAGCCAUCAUAAUCAUAACCUUCUUCUUCACUACCCUGUCCUUCCAGACGCAAUGACAUCACUUCCUUUUGCAAUUAUGUCCCCCAACAUCUCUUCUGUUUCCUCGUCUUGGCGGUGCUCCAUAGUUUCUGCAAAUACUUACAACAUGGCAAUUAUUAUUCAAACAUGACAACUGGAUAUAUUAGUGGCAGACGUAGAACUAGCUAGCUAAUAUAAUCAGAAUAAGGAAUCAUAUUAGUGGCCUUGACGCUGCUUCUCUAGGGUUUGGGGUGGCCUCGGCAAUGCUUCAAGGGUUUGGGGUGACCUCGACAACGCUUCAAGGGUUUGGGGUGGCCUCGACGACAACGCUCUUUUAACUUGGUAAAUUUGGGUGGCCUUGAGAGAGUUUGUCGGGUAGGGGCGCGGCGGGAGGGGGUAGGAGACCAACAUCAUUUUUUUCUAUGGUUUGGGUGUCCUCGAGAGUUUUGGUCGAGCGAGAGGGCCGAGGGGGUGCUCCCGUGGUAUAAGUUAUCACGGUCGAGAGGGGGUAUAUAUAUUGAUCGCCCCUCAUGUCGAAGUUAUCCUGGAGGGGGUUAUAUCGACAACGACGCGACAUACAUACAUGGGAAGAUAAUGUCAUCGGGGAGGGGGUAUAUCGACCCACCCCUCAUGUUGAAGUUAUCGGGAGGGGGUAUAUCGACAACGACAUACCCGAUAAAAAAUAAGAAGACAAAAUAAGAAAUAAAAAGACGAGAAGAAGAAAGGAAUAGAAGAGAAGGAAUCGAAGAAAAAAAAGAAGAAGAAAAAAGGAGAUGAAGAAAGGAAUAGAGGAGAAGAAUAAAAAAAUAGAAACUUUUCUAUUUUUUUCUUNNNNNNNNNNNNNNNNNNNNNNNNNNNNNNNNNNNNNNNNNNNNNNNNNNNNNNNNNNNNNNNNNNNNNNNNNNNNNNNNNNNNNNNNNNNNNNNNNNNNNNNNNNNNNNNNNNNNNNNNNNNNNNNNNNNNNNNNNNNNNNNNNNNNNNNNNNNNNNNNNNNNNNNNNNNNNNNNNNNNNNNNNNNNNNNNNNNNNNNNNNNNNNNNNNNNNNNNNNNNNNNNNNNNNNNNNNNNNNNNNNNNNNNNNNNNNNNNNNNNNNNNNNNNNNNNNNNNNNNNNNNNNNNNNNNNNNNNNNNNNNNNNNNNNNNNNNNNNNNNNNNNNNNNNNNNNNNNNNNNNNNNNNNNNNNNNNNNNNNNNNNNNNNNNNNNNNNNNNNNNNNNNNNNNNNNNNNNNNNNNNNNNNNNNNNNNNNNNNNNNNNNNNNNNNNNNNNNNNNNNNNNNNNNNNNNNNNNNNGGUCUAAAAUCUGUCUAUGAACGAUAAAAAGUUCUGAAAAAAUUACAUCUAUGAUCCCUCUACGUCCCCGCCUCUCUCAUGAACAAAAAAAACUAUGAAUAAAAAACAUCAUGUUCUAUAAAAAAUUACAUCUAUCAUAUUUCAUCCACAGCCAUGCAUACAUCAUAUAUGUGAUCAUCUUUGAAAAAAACAUCAUAUUCUAUAAAAAAUCAUCAUCAUAUAUAUGAACAAAGCAUAUACAUAUGAAAAAAAACAAGCAUAUAUAUAAAUGAAAAAAAAUGGCGCCGGCCGGACCAAGUGAGGAGGAGCGCGUGGUCGGUGGCGAGGACGGUGACGGGGCAGUGGGCGCGCGCUCGGGGUAGGGGCGACGGCGACGAUGACGACGGGGGUGGGCCGGGGCGGCGCGCGUCAGGGCAGGGGAGCGGGGGAUGAAGAGGGCGCGGGCGACGGCAAUGGCGACGGCGGGGGCGGCGGGCGGCGUCGGGGCAACAUGGCGGCGUCGAUGUCAUCGGCGUCGUCGGGGCAGCAACUGCGAGAUGAGGGUGAAAUUUUCCUAAGUGUGAACUUAUAUAGCAAAGCCUUUAGUCCCGGUUGGUGCCACAAACCGGCACUAAAGGUGGCAUUAGUCCCGGUUGGUGGCACCAACCGAGACCAAAGGGCUCUUUUCAGCAGCCCAAAGGGCGGGAAGCAGAGGCCUUUAGUCCCGGUUUGUGGCACCAACCGGGACUAAAGGGGGGUCAUUGGUACCGGUUGGUGCCACCAACCGGGACCAAAGCCACCCUUUAGUCCCGGUUGGUGCCACCAACCAGAACCAAAGGCCGUGCACAGCGCGAUGCGGUGGGAAGUUUAGUCCUACCUCGCUAGCUGAGAGAGCUCAGCACCUGUUUAUAAGGUGCGUUGCAGCUCAGGUGCUGAGAUCCUCUCUAAUAUGCACGCAUUAGUUGCCUACCCUUGUCACUGCUGUGUUGGGCCUAUUGGGCCUGCGUGCCUGCAUCCUGGCCCAUGCACAGAUGGGUUUCUAGUCGUAUGCAGGCCGUGUGGCCCAUUAGGCAGCAUUUUUUUAUUUUUUUUUCUUUCUGAAGUAUCUAUCUGAAGUAAGAAUCUUUUUCUUUCAGAAAGAAGAUAAGAACAAGAGGCUCAGCAUGGUGUUGCCGGCGACGAGAUCGGCGCGGGUGAUCGACGGCGGUGAAGACGGGGACGGGACGUGACGGACCGCUAAACCUAGACAAAUCUCAGGGAAAAUGGAGCUCGGAGGUCGAGUUUCGAGAGGAGAAAGAUUAACUAGUGUGGCUGGGGCAUUUCGUCGAACACCUCAUGUGCAUAGGAGGUGAUCUAGAGCACCCAAAUGCCCUCCCCUCGCCGGCUUGAAAAAACAGAGCACUGUGGAGUGCUCUGCCACGUCGAUGGGGUAUAUAUAGGCAAGUUCUUUGUCCCAGUUCAUGGCAUGAACCGGGACUAAAGCCCCCCCUUCUGUCCCGGUUCAAGCCGCGAACUGGGGCCAAUGGUUGUGGGCCAGGAGCUAGGCCCAUUUGUCCCAGUUCGUGCCUGGAACCGGGACAAAUGGUUCCAUCCGAACCAUGACCAAUGCCCACGAGGACCCGGCCGGCCCUGUGGGCUCACGAACCAUGUCUAAUACCCCCCAUGGGUCCCGGUUCUUGAAGAACCGGGACUAAUGGGCUGGCCAGGGCCGAACGGUAGACCUGUUUUCUACUAGUGAAGGGGGGGGGCCGGGAGUAGGACUCCCCUUGAGGCACUCCUAGGAGGGUCGGCUUCUCCCCCUCCUCCACUCCUUUAUAUAGGUGGCCAAGGGGCACCCCAUAGACAUACAAGUUGAUCUGUUGAUCUCUCCCAGCCGUGUGCGGUGCUCCCCUCCACCAUAUUCCACCUUGGUAAUAUCGUAGCGGUACUUAGGCGAAGCCCUGCGUCGGUAGCAUCAUCGACACCGUCAUCACGUCGUCGUGCUGACGGAACUUUCCCGCAAAGCUUUGCUGGAUCGGAGUUCGUAGGACGUCAUCGAGCUGAACGUGUGCUGAACUCGGAGAUACCGUACAUUCGGUACUUGGAUCGGUCGAAUCGUGAAGACGUACGACUACAUCAACCGUGUUGUGCUAACGCUUCUGCUUUCGAUCUGCGAGGGUACGUGGACAAUACUCUCCCCUCUCGUUGCUAUGCAUCACCAUGAUCUUGCAUGUGCGUAGGAUUUUUUUUGAAAUUACUACGUUCCCCAACAGUGGCAUCCGAGCCAGGUUUAUCCGUAGAUGUUAUAUGCACGAGUAGAAAACAAGUGAGUUGUGGGUGAUACAAGUCAUACUGCUUACCAGCAUGUCAUACUUUUGCUCGCCGGUAUUUUUGGAUGAAGCGGCCCGGACCGACAUUACGCGUACGCUUACGCGAGACUGGUUCUACCGACGUGCUUUGCACAUAGGUGGCUGGCGGGUGUCAGUUUCUCCAACUUCAGUUGAACCGAGGGUGGCUACGCCCGGUCCUUGUUGAAGGUUAAAACAACACUAACUUGACGAAAUAUCAUUGUGGUUUUGAUGCGUAGGUAAGAACGGUUCUUGCUAAGCCUGUAGAAGCCAUGUAAAACUUGCAACAACAAAGUAGAGGACGUCUAACUUGUUUUUGCAGGGCAUGUUGUGAUGUGAUAUGGUCAAGACGUGAUGAGAUAUAAGUUGUUGUAUGAGAUGAUCAUGUUUUGUUGAAGUUAUUGGCAACUGGCAGAAGCCUUAUAGUUGUCUCUUUAUUGCAUGAGAUGCAAGCGCCAAAUAAUUGCUUUCCUUUAUCGCUAUGCGAUAACAAAAGUUGCAAGAGCAAUAGUUGGCGAGACGACCAUGUGAUGACACAUCGAUAUGGAUCAAGAUGAUGGAGAUCAUGGUGUCAUGCCGGUGACGAUGGAGAUCAUGACGAUGCUUUGGAGAUGGAGAUCAAAGGCACUAGAUGAUGAUGGCCAUAUCAUGUCACAUAUUUUGAUUGCAUGUGAUGUUUAUCUUUUUUACAUCUUAUUUUGCUUAGUUUGGUGGUAGCAUUAUAAGAUGAUCUCUCACUAAAUUUCAAGGUAUAAGUGUUCUCCCUGAGUAUGCACCGUUGCAAAAAUUCUUCGUGCCGAGACACCACGUGAUGAUCGGGUGUGAUAAGCUCUACGUUCAAAUACAACGGGUGUAAGAUAGUUUUGCAUACACAGAAUACUCAUGUUAAACUUGACGAGCCUAGCAUAUGCAGAUAUGGCCUCGGAACACUGAGACCAAAAGGUCGAGCGUGAAUUAUAUAGUAGAUAUGAUCAACAUAGUGAUGUUCACCAUUGAAAACUACUCCAUCUCACGUGAUGAUCGGACAUGGUUUAGUUGAUUUGGAUCACGAGAUCACUUACAUGAUUAGAGGGAUGUCGAUCUAAGUGGGAGUUCUUAAGUAAUAUGAUUAAUUGAACUUUAGUUUAUCAUGAACUUAGUCCUGAUAGUAUUUUGCAAAUAAUGUUGUAGAUCAAUAGCUCGCGUUGUUGCUUCCCUAUGUUUUACAUGUGUUCCUAGAGAAAAACUAUGUUGAAAGAUGAUAGUAGCAAUGAUGCGGACUGGGUCCAUGAUCUAAGGUUUUUCCUCAUUGCUUCACAGAAGAAUUAUGUCCUUAAUGCAUCGCUAGGUGACAGACCUAUUGCAGGAGCAGAUGCGGACGUUAUGAAUGUUUAGCUAGCUCAAUAUGAUGACUACUUAAUAGUUUAGUGCACCAUGCUUAACGGCUUAGAAUCGGGACUUCAAAGACGUUUUGAACGUCAUGGACCAUAUUAGAUGUUCCAGGAGUAGAAGUUAAUAUUUCAAGCAAAUACCCGAGUUGAGAGAUAUGAAGUCUCCAACAAGUUCUAUAGCUAAAAGAUGGAGGAGAAUUUCUCAACUAGUGAGCAUGUGCUCAGAUUGUCUAGGUACUACAAUCGCUUGAAUCAAGUGGGAGUUAAUCUUCCAAAUAAGAAAGUGAUUGACAGAGUUCUCUAGUCACCAUCACCAAGUUACUAGAACUUCGUGAUGAACUAUAGUAUGCAAGGGAUGACAAAAACGAUUCCUAAGCUCUUCGUGAUGUUGAAAUCGACGAAGGUAGAAAUCAAGAAAGAGCAUCAAGUGUUGAUGAUUGACAAGACCACUAGUUUCAAGAAAAGGGCAAAGGGAAAGAAAGGGAAACUUCAAGUAGAAUGUCAAGCAAGUUGUCACUCCCGUGAAGAAGCCCAAAGUUGGACCAAAGCCUGAAACUGAGUGCUUCUACUUCAAAGGAAAUGGUCACUAGAAGCGGAAAUACCCUGAAUAUUUGGUGGAUAAGUAGGAUGGCAAAGUGAACAAGGGUAUAUUUGAUAUACAGGUUAUUGAUGUGUACCUUACACUACUGGAAACAGGGAAUUUGCCAUCAGUCAGCUCUUUGCCGUCUGCCAGCGGAUGGCAAAGAACGUCUUUGCCAUAUGCUUACAAAAAACAGACUGCAAAGAACUGACAGAUGACAAAGAACUUGGUUGCCAUCAGCCAGUUCUUUGCCAUCCGCCAGCCGAUGGCAAAUAAUCUUUGCCAUCUGCUGGCAGACGUCAAAGAGGUGGGUAGGCUCCAGUGCUGUAACGGCCUAUCAACCCACCUCUUUGCCAUCUGCCAGCAGAUGGCAAAGAAUCUUUUCCGUCUGCUGGCAGAUGGCAAAGAAGUGGGUGGGGCUCAGUGGAUGACGGCGUUGUAACGGCCCAGUAGCCCAACCUCUUUGCCAUCUGCCAGCCGCUGGCUGAUGGCAAAGAUGUGGGCCUUUGCCAUCCGCUGGCUGAUGGCAAAGAAGUCGGACUAUCUCCUCCCCUCUCUUCUUCUAACAAAAAAAAUCUCCUCCCCUCUCUCCCAGCCCGGCCCCACCCCUCUCUCUCUCUUUCCCGGCCCGGCCCCACCCCCUCUCUCUCNNNNNNNNNNNNNNNNNNNNNNNNNNNNNNNNNNNNNNNNNNNNNNNNNNNNNNNNNNNNNNNNNNNNNNNNNNNNNNNNNNNNNNNNNNNNNNNNNNNNNNNNNNNNNNNNNNNNNNNNNNNNNNNNNNNNNNNNNNNNNNNNNNNNNNNNNNNNNNNNNNNNNNNNNNNNNNNNNNNNNNNNNNNNNNNNNNNNNNNNNNNNNNNNNNNNNNNNNNNNNNNNNNNNNNNNNNNNNNNNNNNNNNNNNNNNNNNNNNNNNNNNNNNNNNNNNNNNNNNNNNNNNNNNNNNNNNNNNNNNNNNNCCAACGUUCCAGGCCGCGGCGCCGCCUCCUCUCCGCGGCCCUCCCGGCCACCGCGGCCCUCCCGGCCACCGCGGCGUGCCCCGCGGCCAUCCCCGCCACCGCAGCCCACCCCUCCACCGAGCCAGGCCGCGGCGCCGCCCCCUUCUGGCGGCCCUCCCCGCCAUGGCGCCAUCCAACGCAGUUUAAAUCUAGUACUUUUCUUUGUCAAUUCUUGUGCUAAUAUGGACUAUAAUUUCUAGGGGAUUUACACUGUAAGUCUCUUCGCGGUCAGGACGCAGCUUCACGUGUAGCUCUAGCCAAGAAGACAGUUGAUCAAGUCCUAGUCCUAGUCACUUCACGUGUAGCUCUAGCCAAGAAGACUCGAACAUGGCAUACUGCAGUUGUAGGUAUAGGUGUGUUUGCGUCGAGUCUCUCGUAGCUCGUAUGCCUGUUCUGUAUGUGAUCGAAAGAAGUUGAUGAACUGAAAGCAAGGUUUAUAGUGUUAAAAAAUUGCUUAAAUCUGCAACAAAAUUGAUCGUCGUGUUGGGAAAGGUGUGUUCGCGUCGAGUCUCUCCUUUUGCAAUUUUGAGUUUCUCAUGUCCAUGUUCAGACUUGCAGAGGUCGGGGUCUUCCCCCUUUUCAAAAAAAAUGUUCAGACUUGCAGUCCAAGUUGCAAUUGGAAUUCAACCAAAAUUGACAAAAUACACUUCUUGUUGUUUCUUGAUAUAAAACUACAUAUGUACGACAUAACCGUGAUAUACAUUCAGAAAAAGAUGAAUCUUCUUUGAGGUUUGCAAGUUGGAUUGUGCUCAACACCGAUUGCAUACAGUAGGUGUUCUUGGACUCUUUUGCACUAUAAUUCUUGAUAAUUUUCUAUGUCAUUUACUUUGUCAACACAAUGUGUAGGCUCUGAAUGUUUUUAUGCUAUUAGGUGCACACAUUCUUUUGUAUUUUUCUCCAUGCUUUCACUAAUAUUGAGUCUGAAGUGUAAUUUUCAGCUACCUCAGGAUUAUAGUGUAGGUUCUAUGAUUUUUUGCCACUGUACUUCUUCAUUCUAGAUUUCAAAGUUUCUGUAAUUUCAAGAGUAUCCUGUUUGUUUCUAAUUUAAUAUACUAAUAUUUCCCCAGAUUUUAUUACUAUAUAGUAAGUAGAAGUGUUUCUAACCUCGUGAUCUUCCUGGGAUUUCCCUCAAUGUUUGGCUGUUUGGUGGGUCGCAAGCUGAUGGGUAGUUGUUCGCCAUGGUCCAGGGUAUUUGUGGUUCAGGUUUAGUUGAAACCGGGUGAUAGUCUAGCCGGACCCAUUUUUUAGAAAUAGAAAACAUACAGUCGCCGGGGUGGUUUUUUUUGGACAUACAAGUGUCCUCUAUUUAUUUGUCAAGAAUUAUGAAUGUUACUGAAUGGGAAAACAAUCAAGUACUAAAUAGACACUCCCUAAUUUUAAGAGGAUUUUUAACCUAGCCUUUUCUGUUUAGUGCUAGUUUGGCUUACCUUAGCUUUUAUAUUUGAACAAUCAGGUUCAGAAAUAGAUACCAACCUAGACACGAGCUGGAUAAACCCUAUCUGAUUUUGUUUUCUCCACUUGAGAUUCGCAGGGGAGGUUGCAUUGCCUGGAGGAAAGGCAGAGGAGGGUGAUGCUGAUGAUGUAGCAACAUCAUUAAGGGAGGCAAAGGAGGAGAUUGGGCUUAAUCCAGCCUUGGUCACUGUCGUUUCCUCGCUUGAGCACUUCUUGCCCAAGGUAAGAUGUCUAUGGGUUCUCGCUUAUACCCCUACUGAAAAAAAUCACGUUGUACAGCGGACAGACUAUUUAAGUGCACACUGAAAGGCAUGUUAUUUUUUUUUCUCCUUAACUUCGAAAAAACACAUGCAUGCAGCCAAGAUUUAGGAUAUGCUUAUAGAUGUGUUGAGGAUCAUGUAGCAGGCUUUUCUUUACAGUCCACUUUUGCCAGAUAGAAUUUACCUUUGUCCGUUUGACACCACGACACCCAGACACGACACCCCCGACCCCCGACACCUCUUCGGCUUCCUGUUGACUAAAAAGGUGCUUUUUGGCCUUCCAGAGGCCGACGGGGUAGUAGAUGUCCGGUGCUCAACUUUUGAAGUUGUGUAUCCGCAUGUGCCCGCGUAGCAUGUUGCGGUGUUGCGGCCAGGCGAACACUCUGGUACGUGGGCACCUGCUAAUUAAUUUCGUCAUUAGCCCUCGUGAAUGGUGCAGUUGAUGGUGGACACCCCACGAACAUGUACACUUGCAUCUUGACUUCCUCUGCACCCAUCAUCGUGACUUCUGACAUGGUUUCGUCUACAGGAUGAAAUUAGAUGCUACUCCUUGCGUUUCAAAAUAGUUGACAGUCGAGGGUAGAAAGAACUCACAGACAUGAUCUAUAUUGACAACUUUAGUUUGUACAGAGAUGAAGUAAUCAGUAUGGGUGAGAAGAGUCAGACCAAAAUCCCCAUUAACGUUCUUCGGUAUAUGCCAAUCAUACCAAGACUUCAACGUCUAUUCAUGGUCGAAGAGACGGCCAGACAGAUGACAUGUCACAAAUUGGGCAAAAGAACCGAACGGGAUGUAGAUUGGAAUCCGAUGAGGGUACACACAUCGGAUGGUGCUGCAUGGAAACACUUCGAUGCAUUGCAUGAUGAAAAAGCGGCAGAUCCAAGGAAUCCUAGAGUAGCCAUCAGCACGGAUGGGUUCAAUGUGUUUGGUAUGAUGGCAGCCCAAUACAGUUGUUGGCCUGUAUUUGUCAUUCCACUCAAUCUCCCCCCGGGGCAGAUUAUGCAAAGAAAGAACAUUUUCUUGACAUUGAUAAUUCCGGGGCCCAACUAUCCUGGGAAGAAUAUGAAUGUGUACAUGCAACCGCUUAAGGAUGAACUGCAAGAAGCUUGGGAUAAUGGGAUCAAGACAUACGACGCCGCUGCAAAAAAAACUUCCUAAUGCAUGUGUGGUACAUGUACUCGAUGCAUGACUUGCCAGCGUAUGCGCUAUUCGUUGGCUGGUGUGUGCAUGGAAGGUUCCCGUGCCCCACAUGCAAGGCAGCUCUUGAGUUUCGUCGGCUGCAGGCGGGUGACAAGUUUUCUUGCUUCGACAUGCAUACGCAGUUCCUGGAUCCUCACCAUAAGUUCAGAAAAGACAAGAAGAACUUCAUCAAAGGUAGAGAUGUCAAAAACUCUGCACCACCUGCAUUGACAGGCCAACAGACCCUGGAUCAGUUAAACGCUCUCGAGCCGGAUCCAGAGCAUCCAGGGUAUUUCAAGGGGUAUAAUAUGGAACACGCCUGGACCCACAAGAUAUGCUUGUGGGAUCUGCCGUACUUCAAAGACCUCCUUUGCCCACAGAACAUCAACGUGAUGCGCACUGAAAAGAAUGUCAGCGAGGCCCCCUUUGGUACAUUGUUCAUCAUAGAGGGGAAAACGAAGGAUAAUCCUAAGGCUAGAGUCGAUCAGGAGGCUCUAUGUGAUAGACCGCUAUAAAACAUGAAACAACCAAAAGGAAAGAAUAACUGGGCAAAGGCAAAGGCAUGGUUCAAUCUUGGAAGGCGGUUAUGAGGGAAAUACUCCUGUGGGUGAAAAAGGAGUUGAUGUUCCCCGAUGGGUAUGCAUCGAAUCUAAAGAGGGGAGUGAGCCUUGAAAAAUUGAAAAUAUUUGGUCUCAAGAGUCAUGAUUGGCACAUAUGGCUUGAGCGGGUAAUGUCGGUGAUGUUGCGUGGCUUUAUCCCUGAGGAUGAAUGGCUAGUACUGGCAGAGCUCAGCUAUUUCUUCCGUGUUCUAUGUGCGAAAGAUUUAUCGCCUGGCUUGCUAGAAGAAAUGGAAGAGUUGGCGCCGGAGUUGAUCUGCAAGUUGGAGAAGAUCUUUCCACCUGGCUUCUUUAAUCCAAUGCAGCAUUUGAUUUUGCAUCUCCCGACCGAGGCNNNNNNNNNNNNNNNNNNNNNNNNNNNNNNNNNNNNNNNNNNNNNNNNNNNNNNNNNNNNNNNNNNNNNNNNNNNNNNNNNNNNNNNNNNNNNNNNNNNNNNNNNNNNNNNNNNNNNNNNNNNNNNNNNNNNNNNNNNNNNNNNNNNNNNNNNNNNNNNNNNNNNNNNNNNNNNNNNNNNNNNNNNNNNNNNNNNNNNNNNNNNNNNNNNNNNNNNNNNNNNNNNNNNNNNNNNNNNNNNNNNNNGGAUGCAGAAGACGCUUUGAGCAAAAUGUAAAAAUAAACAUCGAAUUGAAGCAUCGAUGGCCGAGGCAUUCAUUACUGAGGAGGCGGCAAACUUCGUGACAGCACACUACAAAGCCAAAAAUCUUCAUUUGCAUAAUCCGAAGCCUCGGUACAAUGUUGGCGACCCUAAAAAGGGUGGAUCCAACCUCAGCCUAUUCAAAGGGAAGCUCGCACUAGCCGGUGCUUAUACUCCCUUAUUGUUGGAUAACGACGAAUGGCGGACCAUUACGUUGUAUAUCUUGAACAAUCUAACAGAAGUGCGGCCAUACAUCGAGUAAGUUCUCAGUACAUUGUUUCGCAACCUCUGCUUCAUUUGAACUGCUCUUAUUCCCGGAUAUUUGAUACAGUCGAUACGUCGCCAAAUUCUCGUAUGGAGCGGUUAUCCAAAAGGAUUCUGUCGAAGAGUAUGAGCUUCUGGCAAUGCAUGGAGGCGGCUAUCCCGCUUUCAUCUCUUGGUUCAAACAAACGGUAGUUUCCAUUAGACCAUUUCAUUUCUUCUUCUAAUUUCUGGCUAAUGCAACAAUCCUUUCAUAUUGAACUUGUAGGCUAGUUCACAGUCUAUGGACGCCGAAUUGAGACAAGUCGCUAAUGGUUUUGACUAUAAGGUCCAUUCAUUUGAAAAAUAUGACAUCAACGGGUAUCGCUUUCGUACCUAUGGCAAAGAGCUAUCUAUGGCCGACCGAAAGUCUACAAAUUGUUGUGUCUCUGCUAUCGGGGAAGGAGAUACCGAGUAUUAUGGAAGAGUUGAAGCAAUUUAUGAACUUCCAUUCUAUGGUGCAAACCCACCGAACGUCGUAGUCUUCAAAUGUCAUUGGUUCCAGCCGAAAGAGACUAGAAGAACUCAUGAACAUCUAGGGCUAGUCGAAAUCAAACAAAGCACCCAUUUGGAUGUUCCCGAUGUCUAUAUUACGGCUCAACAGGCAACCCAAGUUUUCUAUCUACCGUGGGCCUGCCAGAGUGAUCCAAAUCACGAAGGUUGGGAUGUCGUUUAUGAAGUGCCGCCAUGUGUUAGACCACCUCCCCCCAAUGAAGAGGAUUAUGAACCUCACGUUAAUCUAGACACAUAUGAAGGAGAAUUGUUCCAAGAAACACGUCUUUGCAAAAAACAUUUCAAGAACCACUCACCUCAUAACAUUCAAGUAGACAGCGGCAGUGAAUCCGAGCCUGAGCAGGAACAAGAAGAGCCGGAACAAGAAGAGGUUACUGUUGAGGAUGACCUGUCAAUGCUUGACCGAUUACAUGCAGGAGGCUUUCUAGAUGUUGAUGAAUUUAUUGAUGAUGAUGAUGAUGAGCACGUCAUUACUGAUAGUGAUGAGGAUGAUGCAUUUAUUGACCCCGAAGCAUAUAUAUAGACGAUGAUGAUGCAUUUAUUAAUGAUGAUGAUGAAGAUUAAUAUUAUAGUUCAUGUCAGGUAUUCAGUUAUUAUUAUAUACAUAUAUAUUAUUAAUUAGUUCAAGUUUUAACCUAGCUAGCUCUAAAAUGAGCUAUACUUAGCAUUUAUUCCUCCAAAAUGAAUUUGUAUGCUUAGCUAGCUCAAAAAUGACAUAACAACCUUAAUUAGCUCAAAAAUGACUUUAACCUAGGAUAGCUCUAAAAUGAGCUAUAAUUAGCAUUUAUUCCUCUAAAAUGAACUUAUAUACAUAUUAUUAUUCAUGUCAGGUAUUCAUUUUUUUAUGUUGUACUAAUUUCGUUUACUCUUUGUCAUUCCAGGUGUUGACAGAUGGUGGGCGCGGGUCGAGAGCGCUCCGGGGCUCCUACCUCGGCGUGUGGUGGGAGGGGUAGUUCCAUUUCCCCCCAUAGCCUCCGGAGAGUGCUAGAUCUCAGUUUGCAGAGUCCAGCGACGGUCGCUUCUUCUUCGGCCAGGAGAGGUCGGGGGGGGGGGGGUGGUAAGAUGAAGCAGAAGGCUGCUAGAGGAGGACGUGGCGUCGGGAGAGGUAGGAAGGCUGCUACGCCUUCCUCGUCGACACCCCCAGCUGAGUCACCUGACCACAGGGCUGCUCCGUCUGAGAUCGAGCCAUCUGAGGUGGACCCGUCUCGGACUCCACUCCACGAGCCUCCGGCCGACGAGCCUAUGGCAGACGCGCCUACGGCCGACGAGCCUCGGGCCGACACCAAGCCUCGGGCCCCCGAGCCUCGGGCCACCGAGUCUUCGCCCCACGAGACUCCGGAGCUCAGACGGGAUCACGCUGAGUCGAAGCCGAGCCCAUGGGAGGACUGGACGGAGUCGAGUGCACAUGGUUGUGUUCACAGUGGAGACUAUAGUCCUGAUAGCUAUAGCGAGGGUGAGUGGGUUGAGGGGCGCAAAGUCUACCAACGUGGUCGUACAAAGGUCCCGCCCACCCCGGCGACCCCCUACCAGAGGUGGUUGAUUGCGCCUAACGGGGAGAAGUGAGUGCAUUUACUCUUUUUUUAACCUUUUUCCUUGACGUUUCUUUGAAUAUCUAAUGCGUUGGCCUUGUCAUACUGCAGUUCUUGGACACACAAAGAUGGUGUCCGCAGGCCCAACACUGUCCUUGGUGUGAUUUGUCGCCAGUGCUUCCCGGGGUGGGUCACGUUGCCCGGUGAGGGCCAGGUUCCAGAGCUAGGAAUGACUUGGGAGCACAACUUGGCUGCCCCGGCCCCGCUGGAGCAUAGGGUUGGCGAUGUCGAGUGCGAUACGGUGGCCGACGUUGUGAUCGCCAAGUUUUGGAUAAUUUCUCCUUUGCCAUUUACGUUGUGUUUUCUUCUUUGAUAGCAUACCUUCUACAUGUGUUUUCUUGUUUGAUUGCAGACCUUCUAAUCUGUGUUUUCUUGUUUGAUUGCAGACCUUCUACAGGUGUGCUGAGGGACAGGAGGAGGCCGCGGCUCGUGUUAUCGAUGCCGAGUGCAGGCGCCUACUUGGAAACUUUCGGCACGAGGCUCGGACGCAGGCUGUUUGAGACUAUUUAGCACAGACUGGUAUCAGGAGGAGAAAAGAGAAGUGCCGGGACAAGUAUCUGAGUAAGGAGAAGUACAUGAAGGUAAUUACCUAUUCUUAAGGCCUUGUACUUAGUUUCCUUGAUUUGAUUCUUUGGCGUAGUGCUCAAAUUUCUCUUGCUUAACUUAGGUGCCCCCGAGAUGGUGUGCGGACAAGAUGGACUGCUGGGAGGUGUUGGUGGAUGAGUGGUGCUCUCCCCAAUGGCGCGUCGCCCACAACAUUGCAAAGGAGAAGCGUCUCAAAAUGAAAGGUGUGCCACACCAUCUAGGCAGCGUCAACCUACAUGGGUACGGGAAAAACUGGGUAUGUGUGGUUUGCUUCAUGAUUCAUGCAAAUUCAUUCUUUGUGCUAGCUUGAGUCCUUAACUAAUACUCUGUUCCUCUCUUUUAGUCAAAACACAACAAGGCUCCAGUGCCAGAGCUGUUCGACCUCUAUGGCAUGUCCAAUAUUGCACCGUACAAGAAGGCCAAGGCAUUCUCUGAGUCUGACCUCGAAAAUGCAAAGAACUUCAGCAACGAGGCCUCCCACCACAAGAUGGUGCAGUACUUUAAGCAGGGGAAGGAGAGGAAAGGGCCGGACUUUAACCCGACCCAGCCUCUUGAUCCAGAGCUGGUGAUGAUAUCUGGUGGUGGGAGGUCCCAUGGCUCGUUAGCCAUUGGUAAUGGACUGAUACGUUGUAGUAGCACUCUCCUGCAGAUCAAGAAGCGCCAGACCAGCUCUGAUCCUGAGAUACCGCCUCGUUUACGACCAGUGGAAAUCGAAUUCCAGGUUUGUUAUACGGACUCAGUAGUCGUUCCUCCAUUACAUUGUGUUUGCAGCUGUCGAUGAUUACAAUGCUAACGAGUGGUGUUGCAGGCUGCUAUUGAGGCAGAGAGAGCGAAGACUCAGGCUUCUUUUGAGGAGAGGGACCGGCAGUUGGCGGAGAGGGACCGACAGGCGGCGGAGAGGGACAGGGAGAAUGAGGAGAGGAUGGCUAGGCUGUUGGAGGAGGAGAGGAACCGGAACGACUCGGCUAACCGGGCCAUGUACGAUCUCUUCAUGGUAAGUUUCUUCUGCAUAUUAGCUAAAUCAUGCAUGCAAUGUUCCUUUCAUUAGUAACUAAUAUGACUGACUCGUCAAAACCAAAUGUGCAGUCCAUGUGCGAGAAGAGCGGCCAGACCCCUCCACCGAUGCCAGUCAUUGCUCCGGCGGGCACGGUGAGUUUCAUUUGAACGGUCAUUAGUUACUAGUCUUCACAUUUGAGUUGCAUCAUGCUAACGAUACAUUGGAAAUAAUCUUUGGUGCAGCGUAACUCCCGACAAGCAUCGACCGAUCCUUCUCCGUCUGCCACUGGCGCGACCGGUCCUACACCUACACCUACACCUCCAUGAUGACGGUAAGUUUCCCAAGUGUUUUUCUUAAUAGAGUUUUGUUGUGAUGCCAUGUUGUAUCUACACAUAUCGUGCAUAAUGUGUGUAUGUUUGAAAUGCAUUGUAUGUGUGGGAUUCGACACCUAAUCGUGUGCCUUUUGUAGCCUUCCUUACAGGGAAAUGCCUCCUAGUGCGUCCACUGAGCCAUGGUAGUUCGCUACUGCUCCGGAACACAUGGAUUGACCGGCAUGUGUCCUUCUUUGCUCCUAUGUCUGUCCCUAUGGGGAAAUGUCACGCGGUGUAUCACCGAAGUCCUUGUAGCUUGCUACGACUUGGUUGCACUCGCUGAUGACCGACACGUGCAUUGCUGGGUCAUGUAUGCCUGUCCUUGUAUGUUUGUGCCAUCUUGGUUCUAUGACUAGUCAUGUCAGCCCGGGUUCUCUACCAUAUGGAUACUAGCGACAUAAUCAUAUACUUAGCAUUUUUUCCUCCAAAAUGACUCAAUAUGCUUAGUUAGCUCAAAAAUGACCUAAUAAGCUUAAUUAGCUCCAAAAUGACAUAUUUAACCUAGGAUAGCUCUAAAAUGACCUAUACUUAGCAUUUUCCUCCAAAAUGACUUAAUAUGCUUAGCUAGCUUAAAAAUGACAUAUUUAACCCUGGAUAGCUCUAAAAUGACCUAUACUUAGCAUCUUUUCCUCCAAAAUGACUUAAUAUGCUUAGGUAGCUCUAAAAUGAUAUAAUAUGCUUAAGAAAUGACAUAUUUUAGGUCCUAAAUGACUUCAUAUGCUUAGCUAGCUCCAAAAUGACAUAAUAACCUUACUUAGCUCCAAAAUGACCUAUUUAACCUAGGCUAGCUCUAAAAUGACCUAUACUUAGCAUUUUUCCUCCAAAAUGACUCAAUAUGCUUAGCUAGCUCAAAAAUUAUAUAAUAAGCUUAAUUAGCUCCAAAAUGACAUAUUUAACCUAGGAUAGCUCUAAAAUGACCUAUACUUAGCAUUUUUCCUCCAAAAUGACUCAAUAUGCUUAGCUAGCUUAAAAAUGACAUAUUUAACCUAGGAUAGCUCUAAAAUGACCUAUACUUAGCAUCUUUUCCUCCAAAAUGACUUAAUAUGCUUAGCUAGCUCUAAAAUGAUAUAAUAUGCUUAAGAAAUGACAUAUUUUAGGUCCUAAAUGACUUCAUAUGCUUAGAUAGCUCCAAAAUGACAUAAUAACUUUACUUAGCUCCAAAAUGACCUAUUUAACCUAGGCUAGCUCUAAAAUGACCUAUACUUAGCAUUUUUUCCUCCAAAAUGAUUUAAUAUGCUUAGCUAGCUUAAAAAUUACAUAAUAAGCUUAAUUAGCUCCAAAAUGACCUAUUUAACCUAUGAUAGCUCUAAAAUGACAUAUACUUAGCAUUUUUUCCUCCAAAAUGACUUAAUAUGCUUAGCUAGCUUCAAAAUGACCUAUUUAACCUAGGAUAGCUCUAAAAUGACCUAUACUUAGCAUAUUUUCCUCCAAAAUUACUUAAUAUGCUUAACUAGCUAUAAAAUGACAUAAUAUGCUUAAGAAAUGACAUAUUUUAGCUCCUAAAUGACUUCACAUGCUUAGCUAGAUUGAAAAGGACAUAAUAACCUUACUUAGCUCUAGACUGACCUUAGCAUGUUUUACACCAAAAUGACUUAGUAUGCUUAGCUAGCUCAAAAAUGACAGAAUAGCCAUACUUAGCUCCAAAAUGACCUAUUUUACAGAUAUAAGUUGCAUCAUAAUAAUCUUCACAUUUUAGUUGCAUCAUAAUAAUCUUCACAUUUUAGUUGCAUCAUAAUAAUCUUCUUCUUCUAGUCUUCUUCUUCUAACUUUCUUCUUUCCCAUUUUACAGAUUUGCUUAAGAUCACGGAAGCUUGGGUUGAUGGAUUGCUUGUAUUUAGUUUUUGUUUUGACCUUGUGAAACUUGCUACCUAUGGAUGAAACUGUGUAAUAUUGAUGAAACUAUGUAUAUGUAUGGAUGAAACUUGCUAUUAUUGGUAACAUGUGUUGGAUAUAUAUGUGUUCAUGUCUAUUGGUAAUAUGUGUUAAAUAUGCUAUAUUGGUCAUAUAAAUAUAUUUGUGUUUGAUUUUCUGUGAAAAUGAAUUGAUAUAAGAAAAAACAAAAUUAAAUGGGGCAAUAUAGUCACUUUGCCAUCAGCUGGCAGAUGGCAAAGAGGCCACGUGUCAUCUACAUGUACAAUUUGGGCUGGCCUAUUUGGGCUCUUUGCCAUGUGCUGGCAGACGGCAAAGAGCCUGCAGCCUUUGCCAUCUGCUGGCAGACGGCAAACAGCCUGUAGCCUUUGCCAUCUGCUGGCGGACGGCAAAGAGCCUGCAGCCUUUGCCAUCUACUGGCAAACAGCAAAGUAUGUAGUUAGCCUUCUAACGGGGCUAACCCCAUUAAGAGGCUUUGCCGUCUGCCAGCUGAUGGCAAAGCCACAGGCUCUUUGCCAUCAGCCAGCAGAUGGCAAAGAAGCCUUUACCGACAGGGUUUCAGACAAACUGUUUGCCAUCUGCUAGCAGAUGGCAAAGCCUUUGCCAUCCGCCAACCAUGCCUUUGCCAUCUGCCAUGGCAGAUGGCAAAGUGCCAGAUUCCAGUAGUGUUACUAGUGUUUAUAGUAGCCCCUGGAUAUUUGAUACUUGUUCGGUUGCUAAAAAUUAGUAACUCGAAAUAGGAGUUACAGAAUAAACAGAUACUAGUUGAGGGUGAAGUGACGAUGUGUGUUGGAAAUUGUUCCCAGAUUGAUAUGAUCAUCAUCGCACACUCCCUAUACUUUCGGGAUUAGUGUUAAACCUAAAUAAAUAUUAUUUGGCGUUUGCGUUGAGCAUGAAUAUGAUUUGAUCAUGUUUAUUGCAAUACGGUUUUUCAUUUAAAGUCAGAGAAUAAUUGUUGUUCUGUUUACAUGAAUAAAACCUUCGAUGGUCAUACACCCAAUGAAAAUAGUUUGUUGGAUCUCGAUCGUAGUGUUACACAUAUUCAUAAUAUUGAUGCCAAAAGAUGCAAAGUUGAUAAUGAAUAUAGUGCAACUUAUUUGUGGCACUGCCGUUUGGGUCAUAUCGGUGUAAAGCGCAUGAAGAAACUCCAUAAAGAUGGACUUUUGCAAUCACUUGAUUAUGAAUCAUUUGAUGCUUGCGAACCGUGCCUUACGGGCAAGAUGACUAAAACUCCAUUCUCCAGAACAAUGGAAUGAACUACUGACUUGUUGGAAAUAAUACAUACCGAUGUAUGCGAUCCAAUGAGUGUUGAUGCUCGUGGCGAGUAUCGUUAUUUUCUGACCUUCACAGAUGAUUUGAGUAGAUAUGGGUAUAUCUACUUAAUGAAACACAAGUCUGAAACAUUUGAAAAGUUCAAAGAAUUUCAGAGUGAAGUGGAGAAUCAUCGUAACAAGAAAUAAAGUUUCUAUGAUCUGAUCGUGGAGGAGAAUAUUUGAGUUACGAGUUUGGCGUUCAUUUAAAACCAAUGUGGAAUAGUUUCACAGCUCACGCCACAUGGAACACCACAGCGUAAUGGGUGUCCGAACGUCGUAACCGCACUUUAUUGGAUAUGGUGCGAUCUAUGAUGUAUCUUACCAAUUUACCACUAUCGUUUUGGGGUUAUGCAUUAGAGACAAUUGCAUUCAAUUUAAAUAGGGCACCAUAAAAAUCCGUUGAGACGAUGCCUUAUGAACUAUGGUUUGGCAAGAAACCAAAGUUGUCGUUUCUUAAAGUUUGGGGCUGUGAUGCUUAUGUGAAAAAGUUUCAACUUGAUAAGCUCAAACCCAAAUCGGAGAAGUGCGUCUUCAUAGAAUACCCAAAGGAAACUGUUGGGUACACCUUCUAUCACAGAUCCAAAGGCAAAAUAUUUGUUGCUAAGAUGGAUCCUUUCUAUCGAAGGAGUUUCUCUCGAAAGAAGUGAGUGGGAGGAAAGUAGAGCUUGAUAAGGUAAUUGUACCUUCUCCCGAAUUGCAAAGUAGUUCAUCACAGAAAUCAGUUCCAGUGAUUGCUACACCAAUUAGUGAGGAAGCUAAUGAUGAUGAUCAUGAAACUUCGGAUCAAGUUUCUACCAAACCUCGUAGGUCAACCAGAGUAAGAUACGCACCAGAGUGGUACGGUAAUCCUGUUCUGGAAGUCAUGUUACUUGACCAUGAUGAACCUACGAACUAUGAGGAAGCAAUGAUGAGCCCAGAUUCCGUGAAAUGGCUUGAGGCCAUGAAAUCUGAGAUGAGAUCCAUGUAUGAGAACAAGGUGUGAACUUCGAUUGACUUGCUCGAUGAUCGGCAAGCUAUAGAAAAUAAAUGGAUCUUCAAGAGGAAGACGGACACUGAUAGUAGUGUUACUAUCUACAAAGCUAGACUUGUUGAAAAAGGUUUUGACAAAGUUCAAGGUGUUGAGUACGAAGAGAUUUUCUCACUCGUAGCGAUGCUUAAGUCUAUCCGAAUCAUGUCAGCAAAUUGCCACAUUGAAUGAAAUCUGGCAAAUGGAUGUCAAAACAACAUUCCUUAAUGGAUUUCUUAAAGAAGAGUUGUAUAUGAUGCAACCGGAAGGUUUUGGCCAUCCUAAAGGUGCUAACAAAGUGUGCAAGCUCCAGCGAUCCAUUUAUGGACUGAUGCAAGCCUCCCGGAGUUGGAGUAAACGUUUUGAUAGUGUGAUCAAAGCAUAUGGUUUUAUACAGACGUUUGGAGAAGCCUGUAUUUACAAGAAAGUGAGUGGGAGCUCUGUAGCAUUUCUAAUAUUAUAUGUGGAUGACAUAUUGUUGAUUGGAAAUGAUAUAGAAUUUCUGGAUAGCAUAAAAGGAUACUUGAAUAAGAGUUUUUCAAAGAAAGACCUCGGUGAAGCUGCUUACACAUUGAGCAUCAAGAUCUAUAGAGAUAGAUCAAGACGCUUGAUAAGAUUUUUCAAUGAGUACAUACCUUGAUAAGAUUUUGAAGUACUUCAAAAUAGAACUGUCAAAGAAGGAGUUCUUGCCUGUGUUGCAAGGUGUGAAGUUGAGUAAGAAUCAAAACCCGACCAUGGCAGAAAAUAGAAAAAGAAUGAAAACCAUUCCCUAUGCCUCAGUCAUAGGUUCUAUAAAGUAUGCAAUGUUGUGUACUAGACCCAUUGUAUACCUUGCUCUGAGUUUGGCAAGGGAGUACAAUUUUGAUCUAAGAGUAGAUCACUGGACAACGGUCAAGAAUAUCCUUGGUGAGGACUAAGGAAAUAUUUCUCGAUUAUGGAGGUGAUAAAAGAGCCCAUCGUAAAGAGUUACAUUGGUGCAUGCUUUUACACCGAUCCAGAUGACUCUAAGUCUCAAUCUGGAUACAUAUUGAAAGUGGGAGCAAUUAGCUAGAGUAGCUCCGUGCAGAGCAUUGUAGAUAUAGAAUAUUUGCAAAAUACAUACGUCUCUGAAUGUGAUAGACCCGUAGACUAAACUGUUGGAAAUAUGCCCUAGAUGCAAUAAUAAAAUGGUUACUAUUAUAUUUCCUUGUUCAUGAUAAUUUUCUAUUGUUCAUGCUAUAAUUGUGUUAUCCGGAAAUCGUAAUACAUGUGUGAAUACAUAGACCACAACAUGUCCCUAGUGAGCCUCUAGUUGACUAGCUCGUUGAUCAACAGAUAGUCAUGGUUUCCUGACUAUAGACAUUGGAUGU
rnacentral:lncRNA from 1 species